UUUAAAACACAAACAACUAGUUCAUUGAAAUGAUAACUUGUUUAGUACACAAACAAGAUCUUACUUAAUACAUAGAAAUAAGAUCUUACGGAACAUAGAGAUUAAAAACAUAGGAACAACAUGAAAAGUUUUUAAAAUGACAUAGAUAUUGAUUAACAAAGAUAUGAACUAGUUUCGGGUAUUUUUUAACCAUCCAUCAAGGUAAACUUGUUUGGAGUCAGGGGUGGAUUUUGGUCUAAUAUCUUUCAACCAUCCAUCAAGGUAAACUUGGUUGGAAUCAGAGGAGGAUUUUGCUUUUUCAGCUCGAGUGUCUUUCAACCAACCAUCAAGAUAAACUUGUUUGGGAUCAGAGGUGGAUUUUGUUUUCUCUGCUCGAGUAUCUUUCAACCACCCAUCAAGGUAUACUUGGUUGGAGUCAGGGGUAGAUUUUGUUCUCUCGUUUCGAAUAUCUUUCAACCAUCCAUCAAGGUAAACUUGGUUGGAAUCAGAGGAGGAUUUUUCUUUUUCAGCUCGAGUGUCUUUCAACCAACCAUCAAGAUAAACUUGUUUGGGAUCAGAGGUGGAUUUUGUUUUCUCUACUCGGGUAUCUUUCAACCACCCAUCAAGGUAUACUUGGUUGGAGUUAGGGGUAGAUUUUGUUCUCUCGUUUCGAAUAUCUUUCAACCAUCCAUCAAGGUAAACUUGGUUGGAGUCAGAGGAGGAUUUUUCUUUUUCAGCUCGAGUGUCUUUCAACCAACCAUCAAGAUAAACUUGUUUGGGAUCAGAGGUGGAUUUUGUUUUCUCUACUCGGGUAUCUUUCAACCACCCAUCAAGGUAUACUUGGUUGGAGUCAGGGGUAGAUUUUGUUCUCUCGUUUCGAAUAUCUUUCAACCAUCCAUCAAGGUAAACUUGGUUGGAGUCAGAGGAGGAUUUUUCUUUUUCAGCUCGAGUGUCUUUCAACCAACCAUCAAGAUAAACUUGUUUGGGAUCAGAGGUGGAUUUUGUUUUCUCUACUCGGGUAUCUUUCAACCACCCAUCAAGGUAUACUUGGUUGGAGUCAGGGGUAGAUUUUGUUCUCUCGUUUCGAAUAUCUUUCAACCAUCCAUCAAGGUAAACUUGGUUGGAGUCAGACAUGGUUUUUGUUUGCUUUGCUCGAGUAUUUUUCAACCAUCCAUCAAGGUAAACUUGGUUGGAGUCAGAUGUAGAUUUUUCUUUCUCAGCUCGGGGAUCUUUUAACCAUCCAUCAAGAUAAACUUGUUUGGAGUCAGAGGUGGAUUUUGUUUUCUCUGCUCGGGUAUCUUUCAACCAUCCAUCAAGGUAAACUUGAUUGGAGUUAGGCAUGGACUUUUCUUUCUCGACUCUGAUAUUUUUCAACCAUCCAUCAAGAUAAACUUGGUUUGAGUCACUUGCAGGUUUUGUUUUCUCAACUCGGGUAUUUUUCAACCAUCCAUCAAGGUAAACUUGGUUGGAUUCAGAGGUGGAUUUUGCGUUCUCUGCUCUGGUAUCUUUCAACCAUCCAUCAAGGUAAACUUGGUUGGAGUUAGGUGUUGACUUUUCUUUCUCAGCUCUGAUAUCUUUCAACCAUCCAUCAAGAUAAACUUGGUUGGUGUCACCGGUAGAUUUUGCUUUCUCAGCUCGAUUAUCUUUCAACCAUCCAUCAAGGUAAACUUGGUUGGAUUCAGAGGUGUCUUUUGCUUUCUUUGCUCUGGAAUCUUUUAACCAUCCAUCAAGAUAAACUUGAUCAGAGUUCUGGGAGGAUUUGGUUUUCUCUGCUCGUGUAUCUUUCAACCAUCCAUCAAGAUAAACUUGGUUAGAGUUAGCAAUGUGUUUUUGACUCUUCAAUGGAUUUUUGAGCCAACCAUCAAGGUAAGGUUGAUCAACUUGUAUUUCUUGUACAUUCUCUUGCUGAAGUUUGAUAUAUCGGGCAAAGCUUCCUUGUCCAUUCUAUAAUACAAUUGAAUAAAUGGAUAUUAGUGAGUUAUUUUUGGAUGGUAUAUAUGAUUACAAAAACAAAAUAAUGUGUUUUAUAAGACACAUUAUGUUGCACAGGUGAGACACAUUCAUUAUAUAUUUCAGAUGGAUACAAAAUGUGAAAUAAAAAUGAAAGAAAAACAAUUUUUAAAAUUUCAUUGCGGCAUAGAAAACAUUAUUUUAUCAAAUCAAAUAGAACAACUUGAUUGUAAGUGAAUGAUGAAAUCAAAUCAAAUAAAGAUGAGAAAUGAUAGAUUGUGAUAAAUAAAUGAUGAAAAAUAUAAGUGUAAAAGAUACAAGAAUGGAUGCAAAGUUAGUAACUUACGAUCAACAAGAGCAUGAUAAAAGGGAGGAGAAACAAAACAUCUUUGUGUGUCAUUUCUUUAAUGUUAUGAUUUUGUGGGAAAAUUGUUUUAAUGUGAAAAGAUGUAUUGAAAUGGAAGUGAAUUGGGCUAUUUAUAAGUGAAUGAAAAGAAAAACUACAUUAAGGAUAUUAAGGACAUUGCGACUUUGGUUGGCAAGAUUAUUUUUUAAAUAUUUAAUUUAUUUUAUUUUUUAAAUGUUUAGUUUAAUUUAUAAGUUUAUAUGUCUAAGAAAGAUCAAUUUACUUUUUCCAAGAUCUAUUAGGUGUGUUGUUUUGAGUUAUAAAUAAAAAAUUCAAAAAAUUGUUUGUUUGGUAUCAUUUUUUUAAUUAGAAGCUCCUAACUAAAUUCUCCAGGUUUAAAAUAAAUAAAUUUUAGAAAAGCUACUGCAAUUAGUUUUUUAUUUUAAAAUUAAAAAUGAUUCUCUUAAAAACUUUAAUAAAAACCUAUUAAAAUGAUAAAGGUGAUUUUUUAAAUGUUAAACAAACAUUUAUUUUGAUAAGUUAUUUCAAAUAAUUUAAAAUUUCAUAAAUUUAUUUUAAUUUAUAAUUGAAGUGGUAAUUAUCAUAAUCUCGUCUCUUGAGUUCUAAUAUUUGAGCUAAUAGUAUAAAUAUUUUUUAGUUGAAUUAAAAUUUGCAUUAAUGAUAGUUUCAAUUUUACAAUUAAUUAAACUAAUUUAGUAGUUAAUUUUAUUAAGUGUAAUAAAUGCAAUGAAUUAAUUUAACUACAUCCCCUUUAAUUCGAGGUGGGUGUAGGUAUUCCGAGACAUUCAAAUUUGAAGACUAAUAUAUAGAUUAAAAUUAUUUAUUAAUUUAUUUAAUGGUAAUUACAUAUUACAAAAUUUCAUUUUUGGAAAAAAGUUAUUAUUUUAAUAUUUUAUAUUUUUUAAUAGUUAUUAUUUUAUAAAAUUAAUUAUAAUGAGUAUAAUAUUUUAAUUUUAUUAUCAUCAAAUAUACACGACAUCAAAAUUACCAAACAUGAAAUCUAAAUAUAGGGAUCCAAUUAAUUGAAUUGGAAUUUACAUUGUGAAUCAUGAGUCUUCUGCCACCAAUUCCUAGGGACUCACUACCUAGCAAACAAUGAAUACAAAAUAGUAUCACAAGAAACACUAAAAUACUGUGUUGACCCUUGCAUGUUUAAGAUGUUCACAUGUAGCUAGGGUUUGGGUGGUUAUGUAGUUAUGCUUACCUAAUAGUAAGACUGUGUUGACCUUUGCAUGUUUAAGAUGUUCACAUGUAGCUAGGGUUUGCGUGGUUAUGUAGUUAUGCUUAUCUAAUAGUAAGUUAAAAAAUUGUAGUUAUCUAAAAAGUAAUAAAUUAUUAUAUUGACCGGUCUAAAGAGAAGAUAGAUAAGUUANGUAGUUAAUUUUAUUAAGUGUAAUAAAUGCAAUGAAUUAAUUUAACUACAUCCCCUUUAAUUCGAGGUGGGUGUAGGUAUUCAGAGACAUUCAAAUUUGAAGACUAAUAUAUAGAUUAAAAUUAUUUAUGUUCGUCUUAUAUAUUUUUUUUUUAUAUUUUAAUAUAAAUAUUUAUUAAUUUAUUUAAUGGUAAUUAUAUAUUACAAAAUUUCAUUUUUGGAAAAAAGUUAUUAUUUUAAUAUUUUAUAUUUUUUAAUAAUUAUUAUUUUAUAAAAUUAAUUAUAAUGAGUAUAAUAUUUUAAUUUUAUUAUCAUCAAAUAUACACGACAUCAAAAUUACCAAACAUGAAAUCUAAAUAUAGGGAUCCAAUUAAUUGAAUUGGAAUUUACAUUGUGAAUCAUGAGUCUUCUGCCACCAAUUCCUAGGGACUCACUACCUAGCAAACAAUGAAUACAAAAUAGUAUCACAAGAAACACUAAAAUACUGUGUUGACCCUUGCAUGUUUAAGAUGUUCACAUGUAGCUAGGGUUUGGGUGGUUAUGUAGUUAUGCUUACCUAAUAGUAAGACUGUGUUGACCUUUGCAUGUUUAAGAUGUUCACAUGUAGCUAGGGUUUGCGUGGUUAUGUAGUUAUGCUUAUCUAAUAGUAAGUUAAAAAAUUGUAGUUAUCUAAAAAGUAAUAAAUUAUUAUAUUGACCGGUCUAAAGAGAAGAUAGAUAAGUUAUUAUAAUCAAAUAUUAUCUAAAAAACAAUAAAUUAUAAGGAAUAUAGUUUCAUUAUUUUUAUGUUUAUUUAAAAAAUAUAAAUAUUUUUUAAAUUAAUGAUAAAUAAUUGAUUUUAAAUGUGAUGAUGGUUUAUAUCUUUACAUAAGAAACUAAAUGAUAAAAUGUGAAUAUUCAUAUCUAACAUUAAAUAUUUAUCUAAAUAUGUAGGCCAGCCUCAUAUUUAUUGUAAAUUUUUUAACAAAGCUUUUAAUAAUGUAAAUUAGAAUAAUGUAGGCCAGCCUCUCUAUUUAUAUAAAAAAAAUAUUUUUUAAAAUAUUUUUAUAAUAAAAAUAUAAAAUUUGUCACAAAACAAUUUUAUUAUUUUAUUAACUAUAAAAAUAUAGGUUAUAAAUCACAUAUUUCAUUUAUAAUUCAUUAACCAGUAAAAUACGUAAUAUUAAUCAAAUUAUAAUAUUAAAAUAUGAAAUACACAAUUUGCUUAAUUAUUAAUUAUUAUAUUUUAUAUUUUAAUGUCAAAAUUUAUUGAUAUUAUUUAUUUUAUUAAUUGAAUACAGUAAUAAAUAAAAUAUAUGGUUAAUCACCUAUAUUUUUGUGAUUAAUAUAAUAAUAAAAUUAAUUAAUAACAAACUUUAUAUUUAUAUUAUAAAAAUAAUUAUAAAAAUAAAUCAAAAACGAGUUUAAGACAACAUAGGAAAAAGGGAGACUCGGAUAUCGUAUCUCAAAGACGGUUGAAUUAUUAUUAAUAUACUGGAAUCGAAUUGGGGGUUUAUAUUUGAUUCAUAAUAAAUGAUUAUGAAAAGUGAUUAUAAAAUAAGUUGAUUUAUUGAUUCGGUUCCUACCUACCAUUGAUUAUUAUAGCGCGAAUGAAAGUGUAAGAAUUAUGUUUCUUAUUUGCUGAAUUAAGCAAUCAGUUAAGAUUAAAGCGAAUUAACGGAUUAAGCAUACGUUAACACGCAAUCAAAAUUAGGGAACAAUAAAUAUUCAAAUCAAACAAAAUUACUAAGUUUGAAAUUGUACCUCAUUCAGGUCUUGGUUCAAGCAUCCCUAUGUGCAUCACAUUUAACUUUGCAUAGGCCAUGAACUCAAGUCUUUUGGUAUGGAAAAAUGCAUAGAUCCAUAUGCCCGAUUCACUUCAUUCAUAUGAUGCAGAUGAUCAAGGAUGAUUGAUCCAUUUAAGACUUAGUUCCAUUGGUUCAUUCUUUGUUGCUUAAGAAAUCUCAGGGUUUUACUAAGAAGAAAGAGGUCGAGACCAGUGUCGUGAUAGUAAAUAUCUACCCUCAAGUUCAAGCACCUAUGACUCAUGUGUCAUACUACCCUUAUCUGUACAUUGUCGCUGCUCAAUAUCAGCAACCUGCAUACCAACCGCAAUAUCAACAGCCUCCAUGGGCUCCAAUUUCUCAGAAUCAACAAAAUAGCAGAAACCAGAGUCUAGGUCAGGGCAGACGUUAUGAUAGAAAACGUCCUCAGCCUGACCAUAUCCCUGUAUCAUACACUCAGUUGUUGUCGUAUCUUGUCCAGUAAGGAGCAAUUGCGCCAAAAGAGAUUCCGCCUGCAACUCCUCCCUAAAAUCACAAGCAUAAUCCUAAUGUGUCUUGUGCAUUUCAUGUCGGAUACAUAGGGCAUUCUACAGAGGAUUGUUUGGUCCUCAAGACCAUAGUACAAGAGUUAAUUGAUCAUAAGGUUUUGUAAUUCUCUGAGGCAGGACCCAAUGUCAUAACCAACCUAUUGCCAGACCACUGUGGACAGAUAGUGAAUGCAGUUUAUGGCGAAGAUUCCUCAGAUUCAGUUGAUUCUUCAGAGAAGUACUGAUGCUAGCAAUAUCAUAUUGAUUCAAUCAUGUAUCAUUUGUAAUCUUUUCUUGUUUGUUAAUUGUUGUUCAUUUGUAAAACUUGUCUGGUUUUUCAGAUGAUAAUAAUAAUGAAAUAAGCGUGCAUGUUUUGCUUAAAUCCAUUCGUGUUCACUCAUAUUUUAUUUUAUCAGUAUCAAAUUGUUUGUCGAACAAAAUCAAAAGAGAAUGAUGAAAUUAAAAAUAUGCAAGAUCGCUGUUUGUAUGCUUUUGAAUAAGAUCAUGUUGAUGAUGCAAGGCAUUGUUCAAUCCCUAAACACCGGAGAUAUAAGGAAGAUAAUCCCUAGUCAACCCAUUUGGAUGUUGUAGUAGGAGUUUCUUUCUUUAACACAUAAAAUCCUCAUGCUUAACUAGGGGCAGGGUAUUCUUCAUUUAGUUUAGACUUGCAUUCAAAUUUCAGAAGGAGAAUAUCUCAUCCAGUGAUCAAUCAUAUCAUAUCCCUCUCAAGAGGAUGGAAUCACAAAUCCAGGAUGGUUAUCCCUUACCAUUCAAAAGGAGUGAGAUAGUCACGACCCAUGCAACAAAUCAAGAAAGUCGUGUCACACGGUUUUCUCUAGUACAAAAAGAAAAGAUGAAAAAAUUAAAAGUCCGCUAAGUCAAAAACUUGAAAACAAGAUUGACUUAUAUGUGUGUGUUUGGGGUGAGUCUGGAGAUGCACCUUCGAACUUCGAAAUGUGUGAGCUUUUUUGUAUUUUUCAUCUCAUGCCCUAGUAAUAUAUAUGGUGCAUUAAAAAAUAUCCAUAAAUUAAGGGAUUUGGUUAACACACUCUUAGGAUUGUUUUUCGACCCUUGUGAAAAAUCAAAACUACCUUUAGAAUUCAGAAAUAAAUCUUUGGACGCACCUCAAACACACACACAAUCAAUUCAUUUUUGAGUCAUGAAGUUAAUUAGGAAAUGCAUCUCCUUAAAUAUUAACGGGGGUGUAUUUUCCAAACCUAUUGAACCACACAGAAUUGCAUAAACCAAACAGAUGCAGAAAUAAAGAUAAAUCACAUUGAUAACAUGAAAAAUGAAAUAUUACAUAGAUAAUCGUUAACAUAAAUCGAACUUUGCAUUUGAACAUCAAGAUGGACGUUUCAACAUAUUUAUAAUAUCUUUUAUCGAUCUCGCAAUCAUCGCAUCCAACUUGAUCAAACAUUUUAUUUCGUAACGGUUAAAUGUAUUUCACAUAACUCUUAAAUCCGCAUCCGUCUUCAGCUUAAAGUUGUUGAACUGAAUCUACCAUUCAUUAUCAACCGAGAGUGAACCUUACUUGAGUUUCACAAUUCUUCAAUGAACUUAAAUGCAAUUGAGGACUCCGCGUAGUUGAGUCAUAUUUCAUGGAGACUCAUAAUGCGUCCAAAAAUGCAUUUCCAAAAUUUUAGUGGCAUUUUUAAAUUUUUAUAGGAUGGUUUUCCAGCACUUAUGUAGAGAUAAACAAUUUCCUUAUUAAAGGUCUCUGAGAGGAAUUGAAAUAAAUAUAUUUAAAAAAUUAGUAUUAUACUUAUUUAAGGAAUAAAGUUUUCUAACCAAAAAUUUUUCCCUAAUUUUUUUGUGCCUAAUUUUUUUGCUAACAAAAUAGAGACCUGAUUAUAUUUCACUAAUUUUCAUUCAUCUCUCAAUUAAUAUCUCUCAUAACCCUCAUUAACUCUCAAUUAAUGUAAUUCAUAUCAAUUAAUUGUUUUUUGAAAAUUUUGUAUCCGGCUUCGGACCAACUAGUUUAGUGAAUUGCUAAUUUCAUCUUUAAGUGUUGGAAAAAUACCUUAUAAAAAUUUGAAAAUACUCUUCUGAUUCCAAAAAUGCAUCUUCGGACGCAACUUGCACCUCACCAAAACACGCUUCAACUUGUUGAUGUUUUUUAUGUAAUUCAAGUGGUGUAACUGGUUACCUCAUGUGGUGUAAACGGUUACCACUAAAGUUGAUUUAAUUCAAUAUCAGAUGUAACCGAUUAUCCACUUUUGUGUAACGAUUACAAGCUUAAUAUUUUGAUUUUUUCUGAUAUUUUACUUGGUCAAUUCAGUUCCCAAUUGUGUUGUAUCUCUUGUAUAAGUGUUUAGAAUGUACACUCAUCUAAGGUUAAUGCAAUAAUAAUCUCUCAUCCUCAAUUCUCCUCUUUCACACUCCACAUCCAAAGUAUCUCCACCAUUAUUCACCAAACUUGUGGUGUCCUGUUCCAACAUUUGACAUCAAGAGUCUGGUUCAGAUCCACAAACACUUAGUGUGCAACAUGAAUUAUGUUUCCAAUGAAAAAAUCCCUCCAAACCUACCUAUCCUUGAUGCGAAGAAUUAUGAUAAAUGGUACAAGGAAAUGAAGAUGUUGUUUGGCUACCAAGAUGUUCUUACAGUAACUCUUAAGAGAAAAUAGUUGUCCCUGACCUACUUUGAGUCUCCGUAGGGAAAUUGGACUGGCAAAGAGGGUAGAAGGAGGAAACUACUCAAGUGAGCUUGAAGCAACAAAGGCAGUGAGUUUAGUUCCCACGCGGGGAAGAACGUUUAUAACAAGAGCCAGGAAGAUAAAUUAUUUUAUAAUACCUUCUCAAAAGUAAAAUGAGCUAUGAGAAAGAGCAAGAAUCUCAAGCGAUUGGCUGAACUUAACCUAGCUCGAGCUACAUGGCGGUUGAUCAAGGGAUACCGGAAAGAGGCAAACAACAGAACCUCCGGGUUUGAAGCUUUUCAUGUCGGGGCGAGGUCAAUCAAGGGUUUUGGGUCAGUGAAAGCUCGAGUGCCCCCUUCAAAAGUAAGGUGUCGGGAAUGCAACCAGUGAGGUGACCCGUUCCGUUAGGGCGGAUGAAAGAAGUUAUCCUGAAGCAGCGUCAAAGGCCUCUGUAGGCCCUUCAACAGGAUUUUUUGUCGUGUAGCAUUCUGUUUUGGCUACUCACGAAACUCUUUAUCCUUAAUAGGAAGAACUCCCUUUAGAGGAAGGAUACAAAGACCAAGCCUGUCUUUCUCUCUUAAAAAGGGCAUAUGGGGCAGGGCAGAAAGACUAUUUUAGGGGACUAAUCUGCUAAUGAAUGAAGGAAGGAGAAGGCCUUAAUUGUCUAUCCAAAGGUCCGCCUUGGGUGGAUUUAGGCGAAUCAAGUGGGUGGGAAUGAUCCGAGCCCCCUAUGUAAAUUUCAGUAAGGUAACUAAGGUUUACAAUAAUUCAUUUCAGUAGUGCGUUACCUUGCAGCUCUAUCUAUCGGGUAGUCAGUCUCUUGGUCAAAAGCCGGUACCUAAUUCCCCUGCUGGUGGGCCGAUCCUCGUCUAGCGGUGGGAACCGGCUGGUAUGGAUCAAUUGCUUGCCCUGUCUCUCUUCUGUUCAACCAUCGAGAAUCCGCAGUUAUCUUUGCUCAUUGGGUGGGCGAAGGAAUCCUUUCUAUUGAAUAAGGGCUUUGAGAAGCAGGCCAUUCCGUUCCAGUUAGCACCGUAUCCCGCUUUUCCGAUAGCAAAGGGCCUUCUAAUUAGCGUGCUUUGCUUAACCCGGCAAGAUCCGAGAUCAGACCUAGUCCUGCUGACCCGCUACCCUUGAAAACAUACUUUUUGCCACCUUACGACUGGUGUGAAGGAACUUAUUGCACAUAUUUAACAUGGGGAAGGAAAGAGGAGGGAAUAAAGCAUAUUUUAGGCAUCGANUUAAGAAAUGUCCAUGAAUUAAGGGAUUUGGUUAACGCACUCUUAGGGUUGUUUUUCGACCCUCGUGAAAAAUCAAAACUACCUUUAGAAUUCAGAAAUAAAUCUUUGGACGCACCUCAAACACACAUAAUCUGUUCAUUUUGUAGUCAUGAAUUUAAUUCGGAAAUGCAUCUCCUUAAAUAUUUAUGGAGGUGUAUUUUCAGAACCUACUUAACCACAAAGAAUUUCAUAAACCAAACAGAUGCAGAAACAAAGAUAAAUCACAUUGAUAACAUUGAAAAAUGAAAUAUUACAUAGAUAAUCGUUAACAUAAAUCGAACAUUAUAUUUGAACAUUAAGAUGGACGUUUCAACAUCUUUAUAAUAUCUUUUAUCGAUCUCGCAAUCAUCGCAUCCAACUUGAUCAAAUAUUUUGUUUCGUAACGGUUAAAUGUAUUUCAGAUAACUCUUAAAUCUGCAUUCGUCUUCAGCUUAAAAUUGUUGAAAUGAAUCUUCGAUUCAUUAUCAAUCGAGAGUGAACCGUACUUGAGUUUUGUAAGAACAAAAAUAGUUCUACAAUAGAUUCCAUGAUUUUGAUGAUAACAAAGGAUGAAACCAAAAAUGGCACCCUAACGAAAAGUUUCUAAGUGUGCAGGGUUCUAAAGAAAGAAGAAAUAAAUCUGAUGAUGUCAUCAGAUGCAAAACAAGAUCAGAUGUAAAAUCUCAAGUAUCAGAAGCAUCUAAAGAGGAAUCUCAUUCAAGAAGCUCUGACUCUGGACAAAACUACAAAGUAUCAGAAGCAUCUGAACAUGAAGUAAAGUCUAGAAGCUCUGACUCUGAACAAAUGCCUUCUGUAAAUUCUGAAGUUAUCAGCGCCAUCUGAACUUUCAAGAGAUAACAUCAGAAGCCAGUUUCUCCAGAUACACAAAGACUCUAAUCAGAAUUGUUAAUCAUGAUGAAGUAACGUUUAAGCCAAGUUAAAGUUCUGCAAAUGGAUUUCCUCAAUUAGAAAGAGACGUUAAUCUCCACUUCCAAGAGAGAAGAUACUAAUUGUGGUAAGUAGUCACUUCUAAGAGAAAAAGUCUACUGCAGAAGCUAUUAAUGGAAUGGCGUAACUACAUCUCAAUAUCCAACAGAUUCAACGCUACUUCAACUCUACUUCAACUCCUAUAAAUAGAGAAGAAAUCUCAUUCAGUAAGAAAGAAAUCACUAGCCAAAACUAUACUGAAAUUAUAUCACGCUCAAGAAAAACAUCUUUGUUCUUCAAAGAUUUUCACUAAGCUUUUGCUUAUCAAGUGAAAAAUUUGUUCUUAAGUUUGUAAUAUUUGCUUUCUUAGAAGCACUCUAGAUUACACAUCUUGUAUCUAAUUUUUAUUUGAUUUCCUCAAGUGACUCUUUGUAGUCUGUAGACUUGAGAGGACUAAGAGAUUUUCUUCUCUCUUAGGGGUUGUUUGUAAUCUUUCAAGAUUAGUGGAUUAAGUCCUUGUUGAAGGCGAAAUCACCUUGGCCGGGUGGACUGGAGUAGCUUUGUGUUAUAAGCGAACCAGUAUAAAAUCAUUGUGUGAUUUUCUUUUGCAAAAGCGCUUAUUUUUCAAACAAUUCAAACCCCCCCUUUCUUGUUUUUCUCACCUUCAAUUGGUAUCAGAGCUCCGGCUCUGUUAUUGAUUUUCAAAUCAAACACUUAACCGUGUAGAGAGAUCCAGUGCGAGAAAAACAAAUGGCCCACUCAAAUGAGAAAGAUUCUUACAAUGCCAAGCCUCCUGUUUUUGAUGGAGAAAAGUUUGAUUACUGGAAAGAUAGAAUCGAAAGUUUCUUUCUGGGUUAUGAUGCUGACCUCUGGGACAUUGUCACAGAUGGAUACAAACCUCCAACCUUAAAUGGAGCUGAAGUUCCCAGAAGCAAAAUGUCAGAAGAUCAGAAACGUGAGUUCAAAAAUCAUCACAAGGCCAGAACAAUACUUCUAAAUGCUAUAUCAUACAACGAAUACGAAAAGAUCACCAACAGAGAGACGGCUAAAGAUAUACUUGACUCUCUGAAGAUGACCCAUGAAGGAAACUCCCAAGUCAAGGAGACGAAGGCUCUGGCGUUGAUCCAGAAAUAUGAAGCCUUCAAGAUGGAAGAUGACGAAGCUAUAGAAGCUAUGUUUUCCAGAUUCCAAACUCUUAUUGCAGGUCUUAAAGUGCUAGACAAAGGAUACACGACUGCAGAUCAUGUUAAGAAGAUUGUCAGAAGUCUGCCAAAGAAAUGGAGACCUAUGGUUACUGCUCUGAAGUUAUCAAAGGAUCUGAACAGUAUCAGCCUUGAAGAACUUGUUAGUUCUCUCAGAAGCCAUGAGAUAGAACUAGAGGAGGAUGAGCCUCAGAAAAGGAACAAGUCAGUGGCGCUGAAGUCCAGACCUGAAAGACGGAAGUCAGACAGAACCAAAGCUCUCCAGGCAGAAACUGCAGAUACUGACGACUCUGAACCUGAAGACUCUGAUGAUGAAGAAGAACUGUCCUUACUAACCAGAAGAGUUAAGCAACUCUGGAAAAGAAGGAACAACAACAACUUCAGAAGAUCAAGACCCAGAGGGGAUAGAUCAGAGUCAACUUCAAAAGGUAAACCUAAUAAAGAUAUUACCUGUUUUGAAUGUAAAGAAACAGGUCAUUAUAGAAAUGAAUGCCCCAAGCUGAAGAAAGAUAACUCUAAGAAAGAAAGCUUCAAGAAAAAUGCCUUCAGAACAAAGAAGGGAUUAAUGGCCACCUGGGACGAUAGUGAAUCAGGAUCAUCAGAAUCUGACUCUGAUGAACAAGCCAACGUAGCAUUUAUGGCUACCACAUCCAGCAGCUCAGAUGAAGAAUCUGAAGAGGUAUUUUCUGAACUUUCUAGAUCUGACUUAGAAUCAUGUUUAUCAGAAACUCUUACCUCUCUUCAGAAAUUAAAACAAAAAGUUAAAAGCAUUAAAGGCCUUCUUAAAGCAAAAUCUGAAGAAUGUAGUGAACUUGAGACAACAAUUCUAGCACAUGAAGAUACAAUCAAAUCUUUAACGUUAGAAAGAGAUGGAGCUAAAACAAAAAGCUUAAAAUUAGAAGAAGCGUUGUCUCAAGCACCACAAACUUCAAAUGAAAUUAUUUAUAAAUAUGAAGAAGCCUUUCAGAAGUUUCUGAAGAGUGGAAUAGAUAGGAGUAUUAUGGCAUCCAUGAUUUAUGGAGUAAGUCAGAAUAAUAAAAGGGGAAUUGGGUAUGAUUCUGAUUCUGAUAAAACUUCUACCAGUAACCAAAUUAAAUCACCUUUUUCAUACCACUAUACACACACACAAGAACACAAAUUUAAAAAUGCUAGAAGACCCAAAGUUGUAAGAAACUCUGGGAAAACUAAUCUGAAAGGACCCAAGAGAUUCUGGGUACCGAAAGAUAAGAUUAUCUAUGUUGCAGAUAUCCUAUGCAGCAAAGUUCAGACACCAGUCAUGGUACCUGGACUCUGGAUGCUCGCGACAUAUGACGGGAAGAAAGUCUAUGUUCCAAAGCCUGGAACUUAAAGACGCUGGCUUUGUAGGCUUCGGAGGAGAUCAGAAAGGAAGGAUCAGAGGCUCCGGAACUAUUGGUAAUGGUACUCUUCCCUCUAUAUCUGAUGUUCUUUAUGUAGAAGGAUUAAUGCAUAACUUGUUAUCCAUAAGUCAAUUAAGUGAUAACGGUUAUGAUGUAAUCUUUAAUCAAAAAACGUGUAAAGCCAUUAAUCAGAACGAUGGCUCUGUCCUUUUCACAGGCAAGAGGAAAAACAACAUUUAUAAAAUAAAUCUUUCUGAUUUAAAAGAUCAAAAUGUUAAAUGUUUAAUGUCAGUUCACGAAGAGCAAUGGGUAUGGCAUAGACGCUUAGGCCACAUUAGCAUGAGAAAACUUUCUCAGCUAACUAAACUUGAGUUAGUCAGAGGCUUACCUAAACUGAAGUUUUCUUCAGAUGCUCUGUGUGAAGCUUGUCAGAAAGGAAAGUUUUCAAAAACAUCUUUUAAAAAGAAAAAUGUUGUUUCUACCUCCAAGCCUCUGGAGCUUCUUCACAUUGACUUAUUUGGUCCUGUGAAAACAGCAUCAGUCAAUGGAAAGAAGUAUGGACUAGUAAUCGUUGAUGAUUACAGCCGCUGGACAUGGGUAAAAUUCCUAAAGCACAAGAGUGAGUCUCACUCUGUAUUCACCAGUUUCUGUUCUAAAGUGCAAAAAGAAUUUGACUCUAAAAUUGUUAGAGUCAGAAGUGAUCAUGGUGGAGAAUUUGAAAAUAAAGAUUUUGAAGAAUUAUUUGAUUCUAAUGGAAUAUCCCAUGAUUUCUCCUGCCCUAGAACUCCACAACAAAAUGGAGUUGUAGAGAGGAAGAAUAGGACACUCCAAGAAAUGGCCAGAACCAUGAUCAAUGAAACAAAUGUAGCAAAGCACUUUUGGGCAGAAGCUGUAAAUACAGCGUGUUACAUUCAGAAUAGAAUCUCUAUUAGACCUAUUCUGGAUAAGACUCCCUAUGAACUGUGUAAGGGAAGAAAACCCAACAUUUCAUAUUUUCAUCCUUUUGGAUGCAUUUGCUUUAUAUUAAAUACUAAAGAACAUCUGAACAAGUUUGAUUCCAAAGCACAGAAAGGUAUUAUGUUAGGAUACUCAGAACGCUCUAAAGGCUACAGAGUAUACAACACAGAAACCAAAAUUGUGGAGGAAUCAAUUCAUGUUAGAUUUGAUGAUAAGCUUGACCCUGAAAAGUCAAAGCUAGUUGAAAAGUUUGCAGAUUUAGAGAUCACUCUGGUAGAAUCUGAGAAAACUCCAGAAGCAACUGUCACUCCAGACUCUGAAGAAAUUAAAUCUCCAGAAAUUCCAAGGAAAGUCAAGAGUCGUAGCAACGUAUCUGAAGAUUUGAUUUUGGGAAACAAAGAUGAACCUGUUAGAACCAGAUCUACCUUCAGAACUUCUGAAGAUAUUCCUCUGGGACUAGUGUCUCUGAUUGAGCCUACGUCCUGUGAUGAAGCUCUUCAAGAUAACGAUUGGGUGGCAGCUAUGCAAGAAGAGUUAGAUCAAUUCUCCAAGAAUGAUGUCUGGGAUCUCGUUCCUAAACCCAGAGGCACUCAUGUCAUUGGAACCAGAUGGGUUUUCAGAAACAAACUGAACGAGAAAGGAGAAGUUGUCAGAAACAAAGCACGACUGGUAGCUCAAGGUUAUAGUCAACAAGAAGGUAUUGAUUAUAAUGAAACUUUUGCUCCAGUCGCAAGGUUAGAAUCUAUUCGUCUUCUUGUAUCUUUUGCUAUUAAUCACUCUAUCAAAUUAUACCAAAUGGAUGUCAAGAGUGCAUUUCUUAAUGGUUAUAUUUCAGAAGAAGUGUAUGUCAAUCAACCUCCAGGUUUUGAAAAUUCAAACUUUCCAGAACAUGUUUUCAAACUUAAGAAAUCCUUAUAUGGACUUAAACAAGCUCCCAGAGCUUGGUAUGAACGCUUAAGUAAUUUUCUUCUGGAACAAAAUUUUAUCAGAGGGAAAGUUGAUUCUACACUCUUCUGUAAAAAUCAUAAAAAUGAUCUCAUGAUAUGCCAAAUUUAUGUUGAUGACAUUAUUUUUGGUUCUGCUAAUAUCUCUGUUUGCCAAGAAUUUUCUAAGUUAAUGCAGGCAGAAUUUGAAAUGAGUCUAAUGCAAGAACUAAAGUUCUUUCUGGGAAUUCAAAUUAAUCAAACUCCAGAAGUCACGUACAUUCAUCAAAGCAAGUACAUUAAAGACGUUCUGAAGAAGUUUGAUAUGUCUGAAUGCAACUCUGCAAAGACUCCUAUGCACCCAACUUGCAUUCUGGAAAAGGAAGAGGUAAGCAACAAGGUUUGUCAGAAGCUCUAUCGAGGUAUGAUAGGCUCUCUUCUCUAUCUGACUGCUACUCGUCCUGAUAUUCUCUUUAGCGUCUGUCUUUGUGCCAGAUUCCAAUCAGAUCCUAGAGAAUCUCAUUUAACAGCUGUUAAGAGAAUUCUUAAGUAUCUGAAAGGAACUCCUAACCUGGGCCUGAUGUAUGAGAAAACAUCAGAGUAUAGGCUUUCUGGUUAUUGUGAUGCAGAUUAUGCAGGAGAUAGAAUAGAACGAAAAAGCACAUCUGGAAAUUGCCAGCUUCUGGGAAACAAUCUAAUCUCCUGGGCUAGCAAAAGACAGUCAACUAUCGCUCUAUCAACUGCAGAAGCAGAAUAUAUCUCAGCAUCACUGUGCACAACUCAGAUGCUCUGGAUGAAACAUCAGCUAGAAGAUCUUCAAAUCUUUGAGAGUAACAUUCCUAUCCUUUGUGAUAAUACUGCUGCUAUUUGUUUGAGUAAGAAUCCUAUUUUACAUUCCAGAGCCAAACACAUAGAAAUUAAACAUCAUUUUAUUAGAGACUAUGUUCAGAAAGGAAUAGUAACGCUGAAGUUCAUUGAUACAGAACAUCAAUGGGCAGAUAUCUUUACUAAGCCUCUAGCUGAAGAUAGAUUUCUUUUCAUCUUAGAAAAUCUGAACAUUAAAAAUUGUCCUGAGUAAAAUUUGGCUCUGAACAUGUAAAAUGAGACUCUGAUAAAAACAAAUACACUUCUGCCUCUGACUCUGAUACUUCUACCAAGUUAAGAAGAUAUCUGAGUUAGAAAUCUUCAGAAAUCCUUUGGUAUUCCUGAAGAUCAGAUACAUCAACACGUGGGGAACAUGCGUCUAACCCUAGAACUUCUAGACAGCUGUCAAAAGAAAUCAAAGGUCAGAACGCUUGAAAUCUCCUCGAGCAGUGUGCUUACUGUUGGGAUUAGACAUUCAUUAAUUAGCUAUAAUCAUUUUUCCCCCAAACGUGCUAUUUUGGUUUUUGUGCUAACGCUGGUAUGUGUGUCGUUUUGCAUGUGUUUUUACCCUUAGUAUAUAAACACUUUCUCUCACUUUUCACACUUAUCACUCUCACUCACUCUAAAACCCUAAACCCUUCUCUGAAAGUUCUCUGCAAGUUCUUCAUCUUCUUCAAUCUCCAUCAUCUUCAUCAACAUGGACGCUCAACAACAAGAACUCUUCAACCAUUCUCAACAAGUGGAAUCUAGUUCCAAUCCCCAAACCUCAAACACUCAAACACCCACGGUUAUAAGCGUCACCACAACCCCAGUUUACAAAGAACCUCACAUUCUUGACCGUGAACAACACAUUCAUCUUUCAACUCCCUUUGAAGGUUUGGAUGUACUGUGUGAAUCGCUGGUGGAUUUUGAGAAUUUGAGAAGAAAUGGCGUUGAUUUAACUGAAGAUCUUCGCAAGCAAGGUUGGGAAACCUACUUCAACAGAUUGUAUGGUCCAAUCUAUCCUCUUCUGGUGAAAGAAUUCUGGAGAUGUGCAGAUGCUGAUGAUGAGUUCAUUGUUUCUUUUGUUCUGGGAGUGAAGAUCAUCAUCACAGAAGCAUCUAUUGCCUCUUUGCUGAACAUGGAGAGAACUGGAGGUAAAAGGAUUUACAACAUUCCUCCAAGGUCCAAGCGCAUCACAGAAGUCAUUAACCCUACAAUCUUCAAAGCAAAUGUUGAAGGAAACCCAUCUAAGAACAAGGAGCUUCAUCAGAACCUCCGAGUUUGGCUGAAGAUUAUUCUGGGAACAAUCCAUCAUCGUCCAGCCUCCAACUCUUCAGAUUAUAUAAAUGCUGAUCAGAAAUGCAUCCUCUACUGUAUUCAGAAGGGUAUUCCAAUCAACCUCCCUGUUCUCCUCUUCAGAUAUCUGAGGGAUUCAGUCAGAGAAACAAGGAAUAAUAUGAAGCCCAGAUCCUACAUUCCUCUGGGAAGAUUGCUCUCUGACAUCUUCAUUGAGCAUGGGCUGGUAGAUGCUCUGGAGAAGACCAGAUGUAUGGAUGAUCUGGCAAUUGACGUUGGAAAGCCUCUGAAUGCCAAAAAUCUGAGGAGUAUGGGAAUCAUCAAAGACAUCAGAGUCAAGCCCACUAUGAAUGUAACCUGGGAAGCUCUGAAGGAUCAGAGGAAGAUGCCUCAUGGCCUUGAAAGGUUCUUCAAGAAUGAACCCAGAGAUGCCAUUGCUAUCUACCUUCAGGAUCGUCUGGAUGAAGGCAUUGAUAUCUCUGAUUUCCGCCUUGAAGACUGUCUGGACUCUGUAGAAGAUCUGGUCAGAUACAAAAGAGGUCUUUCUGAGAAGAAGAUAGCUGAGGAAGCAAGGAAGGCAAAGAAAGCCAGACUUGGAGAAACCUCUGGCACCAAAGCUUCAGCACCUCUGAAUGUCUCCUCUGGUAAGUCCAUUCCUCCUGUCUCUUCUGAAUCUGUAAUGGCUUCCUCUAACCCUCUCUCCUCUCAACCAAUAUAUACCACCGCUGAAAUACCACCUUCAACCAUCAGAACCUCUCAACCUCCACCUGUUCUAAAAAUUGCUCGUAAUUUCACAACAACCUCUGACCCUAAUCAACUAUAUCACCACAGCUCUUCCUCAUCCUCUGAAUAUGAAUCACCCCCUUACCUUUCCCCUUCUUCUGACCAAGAGUUCUCUGAACAAGAGUCCUCUGACCAAGAACACUCUGACCCAAACUCCCCAACAAUAGCUGAAAUUUAUGCUAAAAAUUUCGCUCCACAACCCUCAAGACAAUCUGAAGUAACCUCUCCCCUCCAAACUUCACUUCCACCACAACAAACAACAACCUUACCCUCUGAAACUCAACCAUCUGAUCCCUUCACCUCUAAUAUCACUCCACCAUUUAUUCCCGCUGUACCUGGACCAGACUCUGACCCUUUAGACCUAAAUCCACUAUAUGCUUCAUCCCCUAGUCUUCAACCAGACGCAGAUUCUGAACUUCAAGCAGAAUCUGAACCUCAACAAACUGAACCUCAACCUCUAAAUCUCAGCCCUCAAAACUCUCCACCUCAUUCACCUGAACCUGAACCUGAACUUACCAUACCUACCCUUGAGGAGGCCAUUAUACAGGUUGCAGAAGCUUCAGUCCAGAAGAUCAAGUCUCUGGCUAAAAACUCUGAAGUUAGUGAUGAUCCUAAAUCUGUUAGGACACACUGGAACAGAGUCAUUAGUUGGAUGACCUCUGAGUCUUAUAGGCUGAAGAGUAUCUCUGAACAAGUCAGAAAUGGCUACAUCAGAGACUCUGAGGAAAGACUCCAAGAGAGACUGGCUAGAGAAGCUGAGGCCAGAAGGUUAGAGGAAGAGAGACUGGCUAGAGAAGCUGAGGCCAAGAGAUUAGAGGAAGAAAGAUUGGCUAGGGAAGCUGAAGAAGAAGCUAAGAGGUUGGAAGAAGAACGCCUGGCAAAGGAAGCAGAACUUCUAAGGAUUCAGGAAGCUGAAGCCAAGGCUAAGGCAGAUGCAGAAGCCCAAGCUGCUGCUGAAGCUGAAGCUCAGCAGGCUCUGAUUCAGGGGGAGUCUUCCUCUGCGAUCCCUCUGAUUCUUAACACUCUGAAGGAGAUCAAGCAAGAUCAGAAAGAGAUCAAGCAAGAUCAGAGUGAGCUCCGGGCAAGGAUGGACAAGCAAGACGCUCUGAAUGAAAACCUCCAGAAUAUGUUUGCUAUGCUACUACAGAGACUUCCUCCUCCUCCAAACCCUUAGGCACUUAGGAUUUCUUUUGUUUGCCUAGUGUUUUUGCUUCUGUCUUUUCUUUUUUUUCUCUGAUAUUUCUGUUGAAUCUGAUGUUUUGACUGCUGCUUGCCUUUGUGCUUUUGUUUAAUGAAGUGUUUUUCUCUCUAUUAUUUUUUUUAUGUUUUAUGCCUUUUUGAUUAUGCCAAAAAGGGGGAGAAAUUAUUAAAUAGCUCUGAUGAAAAUUAUGUCUAAAACCUUAAGCAUUCUGCAACAAUUAUAGAAAUAGUUCUGAUAUAAAUAGCUCUGAUUAAAUAAUAGCUCUGAUUAAAUAACUCUAACAUUAAAAUUAAGAAAUUGCAGAAAGUUUUCAGAAAUCUCAUUGCUUGGAAAGCUCUGGUAAGAACUUCUGAACUCCCUAGUACUAACUCAGGGGGAGCUUUUGUCUAUCUGAUCUAAUAUUUUUCAUGUUUCAUCUGAUAAUUUUAUUUGUUUUGUCAUCAUCAAAAAGGGGGAGAUUGUAAGAACAAAAAUUGUUCUACAACAGAUUCCAUGAUUUUGAUGAUAACAAAGGAUGAAACCAAAAAUGGCACCCUAACGAAAAGUUUCUAAGUGUGCAGGGUUCUAAAGAAAGAAGAAAUAAAUCUGAUGAUGUCAUCAGAUGCAAAACAAGAUCAGAUGCAAAAUCUCAAGUAUCAGAAGCAUCUAAAGAGGAAUCUCGUUUCAAGAAGCUCUGACUCUGGACAAAACUACAAAGUAUCAGAAGCAUCUGAACAUGAAGUAAAGUCUAGAAGCUCUGACUCUGAACAAAUGCCUUCUGUAAAUUCUGAAGUUAUCAGCGCCAUCUGAACUUUCAAGAGAUAACAUCAGAAGCCAGUUUCUCCAGAUACACAAAGACUCUAAUCAGAAUUGUUAAUCAUGAUGAAGUAACGUUUAAGCCAAGUUAAAGUUCUGCAAAUGGAUUUCCUCAAUUAGAAAGAGACGUUAAUCUCCACUUCCAAGAGAGAAGAUACUAAUUGUGGUAAGUAGUCACUUCUAAGAGAAAAAGUCUACUGCAGAAGCUAUUAAUGGAAUGGCGUAACUACAUCUCAAUAUCCAACAGAUUCAACGCUACUUCAACUCUACUUCAACUCCUAUAAAUAGAGAAGAAAUCUCAUUCAGUAAACACGAAGAAAUCACUAGCCAAAACUAUACUGAAAUCAUAUCACGCUCAAGAAAAACAUCUUUGUUCUUCAAAGAUUUUCACUAAGCUUUUGCUUAUCAAGUGAAAAAUUUGUUCUUAAGUUUGUAAUAUUUGCUUUCUUAGAAGCACUCUAGAUUACACAUCUUGUAUCUAAUUUUUAUUUGAUUUCCUCAAGUGACUCUUUGUAGUCUGUAGACUUGAGAGGACUAAGAGAUUUUCUUCUCUCUUAGGGGUUGUUUGUAAUCUUUCAAGAUUAGUGGAUUAAGUCCUUGUUGAAGGCGAAAUCACCUUGGCCGGGUGGACUGGAGUAGCUUUGUGUUAUAAGCGAACCAGUAUAAAAUCUUUGUGUGAUUUCAUUUUGCAAAAGCGCUUAUUUUUCAAACAAUUCAAACCCCCCUUUCUUGUUUUUCUCACCUUCAAGUUUCACAAUUCUUUGAUGAACUAAAAUGCAAUUGAGGACUCCGCGUCUUUGAGUCAUAAAUCAUGGAGACUCAUAAUGCGUCCAAAAAUGCAUAUCCAAAAUUUAAGUGGCAUUUUCAAAUUUUUAUAGGAUGGUUUUCCAACACUUAUGUAGAGAUAAACAAUUUCGUAAUUAAAGGUCUCUAAGAGGAGUUGAAAUAAAUAUAUUUAAAAAAUUAGUAACAUAAUUAUUUAAGGAAUAAAGUUUUCUAACCAAAAGAAUUUUUCCCUAAUUUUUUUGUGCCUAAUUUAUUUUGCUAACAAAGUAAAGCCCUGAUUAUUGUUACUAAAUUUUAGUAAUUUUCAUUCAUCUCUCAAUUAAUAUCUCUUAUAAUCCUCAUUAACUCUCAAUUAAUGUAAUUCAUAUCUAUCAAAAAAAAUUGAAAAUUUUGUAUCUAGGCUUGGGACCAACUAGUUUAGUGAAUUGCUAAUUUCAUCUUAAGUGUUGGAAAUAUGCCCUAUAAAAUUUUGAAAAUACCCUUUUGAAUCCGAAAAUGCAUCUUCGAACGCACCUUACGCCUCACUAAAACACACCUCAACUUGUUGAUGUUUUUUAUGUAAUUCAAGUGAUGUAACCAGUUAUCUCGGGUAGGUAACCGGUUACAUAAAUGUCUAAAGUUCAAUCAAGUAGCAAAAAUGUGGAGUUUUUGAAGGUGUAACCGGUUAACCAUUUUGGUGUAAACGGUUACCACAAAAGCUGAUUUAAUUCAAUGUCAGGUGUAACCGAUUAUCCAUUUUUGUGUAACAUUACAAGCGUAAUAUUUUGAUUUUUCCUGCUAUUUUACUUGGUCAAUUCAGUUCCCAAUUGUGUUGUAUCUCUUGUAUAAGUGUUUAGAAUGCACACUCAUCUAAGGUUAAUGCAAUAAUAAUCUCUCCCCCUUAAUUCUCCUCUUUCACACUCCACAUCCAAAGUAUCUCCAUCAUUGUUCACCAAACUUGUGGUCUCUUGUUCCAAAAUUUGACAUCAAGAGUCUGGUUCAGAUCCACAAACACCUAGUGUGCAACAUGAAUUAUGUUUCCAAUGAAAGAAUUCCUGCAAACCUACCUAUCUUUGAUGCGAAGAAUUAGGAUAAACGGUGCAAGGAAAUGAAGAUGUUGUUUGGAUACCAAGAUGUUCUUAAAGUAAUCAAUAAGGAUGUUACUCCUCUUAUUCAAAAUGAAACAGAGGCGCAACAAGCAACACAUAAGGAAGAGAAGAAGAAAUAGUUCAAUGUGUUGAUGGCGAUGAUUUUAAGAAAGUUGAUGAUUGUGAAUCGUCAAAGUAAGCGUGAGAGAUCUUAGAGAAGGCAUGUGCAUGGGUUGACAAGGAAAAGGUGGUGAGGUUACAAACUCAUAAACGUCAGUUUGAAUUGAUUCAAAUGGAGGAAAAGGAGAUAAUCAAUGAUUUUGCAAUGAGAAUCACUCGGUUGGUGAAUCAAGUGAAGGCAUGCAAAGAAACUGUUACGGAGUUGUAUGUUGCUGCUAAAAUCUUGUGUUCUUUAACACCAAGAUUUAACAGUAUAGUUGUGGCAAUUGAUGAGUCAAAGGAUCCCGCGACGAUGAGCAAAGAGGAGUUGCAAAGUUCUCUUGAGGCUCAUGAGAAAAAGAUGGAAAAGAGGAAUAACGAUAAGGCAAAGGCGGAGAUUGCUUUGCAAGCUCGUUUCAAUGAGAAGGACAAGAGAUCGAAAGGAAAAUGGCCCAAGAAAAGAAAAGGGAAUUUUCAUAAUUUGGGUGGAAGAGAGUCCUAAAAUUCAAAUGAUUUGACUUGUCAAAGGGGUGAGAGCAGCUACAAUAAACAUGGUGGUCAAGGAAACUUUAGAGGUAGAAGGAAGAAGUUUGAUAAGAGCAAGGAGAUGUGCUAUAAGUGUCAAUGGUUCGUUCAUUUUGCAAAAAAAUACAAUGUGAACAAGAAAGAAUCUCAAGGGAUUAAACCAAGGUUGCAAGAUAAGAGUUUGAUGAAGAGAAUAUAAUUUUGGUCAUGAUCAAAGAAGGGAAUUAUAGCAGCAAACAACUGUGGGACAACAGCGGCAAUAAAUCAAAGAAUGCUAAAAAGGUCGGUUGAAUGAUACGAUUAACCGAUCGCAUGAAGAGGAAGAUACCAUGAUGAGUUUGAAAGGAGUUCAAUGUAGUGAUGAGUGGUAUUUGGACUUGGGUUGUUCAGCUCAUAUGACAGGAAUAAAGGAUUGGUGUGUCAAAAUCAAUCGUGCCAUGAAGAAUAAACUAAAGUUUGCAGAUGAAACCACCCUAAUGAUCGAUGGGAUCGAUGAUGUUUUGAUCAUGAGAAGGGAUAAUGGACAUUACUUAAUCACAAAUUCUUGUACAUUUUUGGAAUCAAAUUUAACCUUCUAAGUAUUGGCCAAUUGCUUGAGAAGGAUUCCAAGAUUCACAUGGAAGACAAUGGGUUGUGCGUUAUGGAUAUAAGAGGAGGCUUGGUCCUUAAAGCGCAUAUGGCUGCCAAUAGAACCUUUAAGGUUGAGUUGAAGGUUAUAGAGUAUAAAUGUCUUGCUACUACAUCAAGUAGACAACAGUGGAUAUGGCACUAUCGUCUUAGACAUCUCAAUUUUAGAGAUCUCAAAGACUUUCAAAAGAACAUAAUGGUAACAGGGCUGCCAUUGAUCAACAUACUAGCUGAAAUUUGUGAAGAAUGUGUGCAAGUGAAGCAACAUAAGGGAAAAUUGAGCAAGUAGACUCUAUUGGUGGAAAUAUGUAUUUUGUCACAUUUAUCGAUGAUCAUAGUACAAAACUAUGGACAUACCUAAUCAAGAUAGAUGACAAUGUAUUUCAUGAUCGUCCGUCAUUGCAUAUAUUUAGUCGAAGAAUCAGACAAAACAAGUGAAAGUUAAGAUAAAAUGAAGAAGAAUAAGGAAAAAAUAUCUAAGCAUGGAAACUGGGGACUUAUUGAAAUUUUGAGUAAAAAAGGGAGCAAAAGUGUGCAACCACUGGAAUAAUCAUGCGCACCAUCACGUAGCAUCGUGCACACAAUGGGGUCUUUAAAGUUGCAUCGCGCAUGCGAUACAAGGAAUCACGCGCGUGAUAAAUACUUUUUAUGGGCUUUUCAGACGCGUUCUGGUCCAUUCUAACGCCUUUAAAAGGGGAUUUUCUGAACUUUCACAAGAGUUACAAAAUUGGGAGAUCUAGGCACUACUUUGAGAGCACAAGUGGUGAUUUUUAUAACAUUAGAAGUUAUUGGAGACCAUUACUUCAACGUAUUUCACAUGUUAUUUUCAUCUAUCAAUUAUGAUAUUUUUAAUUGCAUUAUGAGUAGCUAAGCUCCUCUAGAUUAGGUUGUAUACUGAUGAACCUAUUUCUAUAUUGUUGGAAUCUAUGUUGAUUUAACAAUUGUGUGAACCUUUUGAACUAUAAUUCCAUUCAAUUGCUUCUUGUUCAUAAUGCUUUUUAUGUGAGAUGAUAUUUUAAUAUGAUUUUGGGAACAUAAGGAAUACUGACCAUUAGUCUAUGUGUUGGACCUAGGGAAAUUGUUGUACUUACGCUGGUUGAAUAGGAAUAGGAGACCCUGAGUAGUGGCGUAGAGAAUUAACGCUUUAUACAUCGCCUAACCCUGCUUACGCUGGAGGACUAAGGAUAAAAAGCUCUGAGUGGUGGUUAGUGAGUUAUUUCAUGAGGGAUCAACUAUAACAGUUUUGUUAAUUCGUCGUGGUGUUAUAGUGAUAAGACCAUUCGUACAAGACAUCAAACAUCAACAAUAGAGGAAUAUGAGAUUUUAAAACACAACUUGGCCGCUUUCGUGAUAUUGUUUAAUUGUUUAUUUACUUUUUGCACAGAAACUCAACCCCCCCCCCCCCNNNNNNNNNNNNNNNNNCCCCCCCCCCCCUUUACUAGUUUUUUAUAAAUUGCACACAUUUUGUCUUGCUUGAACGAAGUUCACGUGGAUUCGAUCUUUUUAUUACUUCGACGAUGUCAAUACACUUGUCGAGAAGUCAUCAAGUUUUUGGCGCUUUUGCCAGGGACUAUUAAUUUUUCAUCAAGGCGAUGUUUGUGCAAUUUUUUUUAGUCUUUAAAUUUUAUGUUUUAUUUUCUUGUUUCUCAAAAUGCUAUUGAGGUAUUUUCUAUUUGUGUAUGUACCGUUCAGGAUCAACAUUAAUACCAUUGGAUCCAAAAAUUGAAAGAAACGCACAUGCUCUCAGAAAAGCUGUUAGAGGAGCAACUCUGGAAAGAGGAAUACUAGAAGAAGAGUAAUUAUCAAGUUAGUCAUACUCUGAAGAUGAAGCUGUAAUGGCAGAUGCACAACCCCUAACUAUGGGGGAUUAUUAUAAAUGAACCGAUGAAGGACACUUCUCCAGAGGGUUUGUACCGGUAGACCCUUCUAACUUUGAUAUUAAAAAUUAUGUGCUUUAAGGUUUGAGAGAAAAUUUGUUCGGCAGGAACACGAUUAGAGACCUAUGGGUGCAUCUUACACACUUCUAUGAAACAACUUCAAUGUGAAAAUCAAUUGAUGCCACUGAAGACCAGGUUAAAUUGAGGUUGUUUGGGUUCUCACUAAUUGGAAGGGCGAAGAUUGGUUACUUUUCCUCCCGAAUGGAACGAUACGAACAUGAAAGGAAUUAGAGGAUAAAUCCCUGGAAAGAUUUUUCACUACUACUCAGUUUACCGAGCGCUAAGCAGAAAUUGUGAGGUUUGAGCAGUAGGAAAUUGAGUCACUUUAUGACUCUUGGGAAAGAUUCAAACUUUUGUUACGCAGAUGCUCGAAUCACAACAUGAAUAAUAUAGAGCAGAUGCAAAACUUCAUUAAAGGUCUCAAAGUCAAACUCACGUAUUUUUGGAUGCUUCUACGAGAGGUACUAUCUGAAAAAUGAAUGAACCAUGGGUAAAAGAUAUCAUUGAGAAAAUGUGUAUAAUUGAGUACCGAUCCAAGAACGAAAGGUCGAUCAAGAUGGGAACUGUGGGCACGCCUAAAGGUAUGUUACCUAUUGAUACCCACAUUGCUCUUUUAGCUCAGAUUGAAUUAUUAAAUAAAAAGCAAGCUGGAAGAAGCUUAGUUAAAGCUAACGUAAGUCAGGUACAAGCACUUAAAAGCGAUUUAUAUGGAGGAUAACAUGCGAAUGGAAGUUGUUCAUUGGAAGGGACAAGUGAGGAGGUAAAAUUUUAUAAUUUUUAAAAAAAAUAACUUGUAUUCAAACACAUAUAAUCCGGGUUAAAAAGACCACCCAAAAUUCCUUUGGAAUAAUAAUCAAAAUUCAAAUGCUAACUAAGGGAUGCAACAAAGCCAACAAGCUCUGUUUCAAAGAAAUCCAUCACAAAUGGUAGAGACCUUGAAAAUUUUCAUUAAGGUCACUCAAAGUAGCUUUGCUAGGGUAAAUAAGACCCUUGAAGAAAUGAGUAGAAACUAGGAUGCGUCUAUCAAAAUUUUGGAGAUGAAGAUUGGUCAAUUAUCCAGACAAGUAGCUACUUUUCCAAGCUCAAGUGGAGGAUUCACCAGUAACAUUGUUGAUAACCCUAAGAAUGAUAACCCUAAAUAUAGGUUUAGGGGAAAUUACUGAAAAGGAUAAGGAGGAGAUAGUUAAAGAACGUGUGGUUAAGAUAGAUGAGGGUACAAAUCAAGGUGACCAAGAGGAAAGAGGAGACAUCAUUGAUCAACUUAUUGACAAAAAUUCUCCUCGGGGGAGAACAAAGAAGCAGAUCAUGACUGAACCAAAUCCUCCUUUACCAGAUCACGUAAAACCACCGUACCCAAUAAUUAAAAAGAAAGUGGUUUAAGAUGAUGAAGCGAGAAUGUUUGCAAAGUUCAAGGAAAUUCUAGCUACUCUCCGGGAAAGUAUUUCGUUCCAUGAAAUUUUAGAACUAAUGCCUAAGUUUGCUAAAUUUAUGAAGGCGUUACUAAAUGGGACGGAAGAGAAAAGGAUCAAGGAACAUGUAAACAUGACCGAAAAGAAUGAUAUGGUAAAACCUCAAUCCUUACAACCUAAACUAAAAGACUCAAGUAAAUUUAUGAAGGAGUUAUUAAAUGGGACGAAAGAGAAAAGGAUCAAGGAACAUGUAAACAUGACCGAAAAUGAUGAUAUAGUAAAACCUCAAUCCCUACAACCUAAACUAAAAGAAUUAGGUAAGUUUACUAUUUCCUAUAAUAUUAGUGGAUUCAAUAUUCUGCAUGCUCUAUGUGAUAUGGGAUCUAACAUAAAUGUCAUGCCACCGAAAACUGUCAAAGAAUUAAAAGUGGGUGAGAUCACACCGAGUAACAUGACUCUCAGUCUAGUUGAAUUGUCUAUUACUCAUUCAAUUGGUACUUUACGCGACAUAUUAGUACCUAUCGACGACUUAUUGUUUCCUAUAGAUUUUAUAGUGCAUGAUACAAAAGAAGAUUCGGGAGGAUCUAUUAUUCUUGGACAUCCAUUCUUGGCAAUCGGGAAAGCAAAAGAUUGAUGUGUAAACUGGUCAACUUAUCUUGAAGUCAAAUAAAAGGAAUGUGGUUUUCAAGGUAUAUGACUGGACACCUUAUGUGGAUAAUUUGGAUACUUUCUACUAUCUGGAUGAAAAAGGUAGGAAAGUAGAUAAAGGAACAAUGAGAAAGAAAGUGACAGGCGUGAGGGUGUCCCUUGCGCCUGACGUACCUUAGACAUGGAUUAUCAAGCUAGUGAUGUUAAAAAAGUGUUUGAUGGGAGGCAACUCAUCAAUAAGAAUUUAUUUUUUUAUCAUAGUGAAUAUUAAUUUUUCUAACCUUGUUAAUUUUUGUGCUAUGUUAUUGGAAGAGAAAAUAGGUGAAAGAAGAAAAGAAAGAAAAAGCAAAAGGGAAGAAAAUAGAAAAAGAAAAGAGAGAGGAAAGUUUCAUCCCCCAGAAUCAUCACGUAUGAUAAUAUAAACUAGUUCUUUACAAUAAUAAAAUUUGAUAUUUAUUUAUACAAACACAAUUAUAUAAAGAGAAUAACACACAAAUCACACAUGAUAAUUUUAGAAUAAUUAUACUCUAAUAUUUUUUGAGUCGUGAUAUAUCCUCUUCUUAAAUAUUUGAAAGUUGAAUCUCUCUCACUAAUCUCUAUUCCCCUAUUUAUUUUAAGAAUAAACAUAUUGAAUUAAUAAAACAUAAUUGCACCUUUCUUAAAGGUUAUACAAACAACUACUAAAGUUGAAAAAACUAAAGAGAGGUCAACUCAAUCUUUAUCAAAUUAAAUUAAAGUUUAUUAUAAAACACAAACAACUAGUUCAUUCAAAUGAUAACUUGUUUAGUACACAAGUAAGAUCUUACUUAAUACAUAGAAAUAAGAUCUUACAGAAUAUAGAGAUUAAAAACAUAGGAAUAACAUGAAAAGCUUUUAAAAUGACAUAGACAUUGAUUAACAAAGAUAUGAACUAGUUUCGGGUAUUUCUUAACCAUCCGUCAAGGUAAACUUGUUUGGAGUCAGGGGUGGAUUUUGCUUUCUCGACUCGGAUAUCUUUCAACCAUCCAUCAAGGUAAACCUGGUUGUUGUCAGAGGUGGAUUUUACUGUCUCGGCUCGGAUAUCUUUCAACCAUCCAUCAAGGUAAACUUGUUUUGGAUCAGAGGUGGAUUUUGUUUUCUCUGCUCGGGUAUCUUUCAACCACCCAUCAAGGUAUACUUGGUUGGAGUCAGGGGUAGAUUUUAUUCUCUCGUUUCGAUAAUCUUUCAACCAUCCAUCAAGGUAAACUUGGUUGGAGUCAGACAUGGUUUCUGUUUGCUUUGCUCGAGUAUUUUUCAACCAUCCAUCAAGGUAAACUUGGUUGGAGUCAGAGGUAGAUUUUUCUUUCUCAGCUCGGGUAUCUUUUAACCAUCCAUCAAGGUAAACUUGUUUGGAGUCAAGAUUUUUCUUUCUCAGCUCGGGUAUCUUUUAACCAUCCAUCAAGGUAAACUUGUUUGGAGUCAGAGGUGGAUUUUGUUUUCUCUGCUCGGGUAUCUUUCAACCAUCCAUCAAGGUAAACUUGAUUGGUGUUAGGCAUGGACUUUUCUUUCUCAACUCUGAUAUUUUUCAACCAUCCAUCAAGAUAAACUUGGUUGGAGUCACUUGUAGAUUUUGUUUUCUCAACUCGGGUAUCUUUCAACCAUUCAUCAAGGUAAACUUGGUUGGAUUCAGAGGUGGAUUUUGCAUUCUCUGCUCUGGUAUCUUUCAACCAUCCAUCAAGGUAAACUUGGUUGGAGUUAGGUGUUGACUUUUCUUUCUCAACUCUGCUAUCUUUCAACCAUCCAUCAAGAUAAACUUGGUUGGUGUCACCUGUAGAUUUUGCUUUCUCAGCUCGAUUAUCUUUCAACCAUCCAUCAAGGUAAACUUGGUUGGAUUCAGAGGUGUCUUUUGCUUUCUUUGCUCUGGAAUCUUUCAACCAUCCAUCAAGAUAAACUUGAUCGGAGUUCUGGGAGGAUUUGGUUUUCUCUGAUCGUGUAUCUUUCAACCAUCCAUCAAGAUAAACUUGGUUAGAGUUAGCAAUGUGUUUUCGACUCUUCAAUGGAUUUUUGAGCCAACCAUCAAGGUAAGGUUGAUCAGCUUGUAUUUCUUGUACAUUCUCUUGCUGAAGUUUGAUAUAUCGGGCAAAGCUUCCUUGUCCAUUCUAUAAUACAAUUGAAUAAAUGGAUAUUAGUGAGUUAUUUUUGGAUGGUAUAUAUGAUUACAAAAACAAAAUUAUGUGUUUUAUGAGACACAUUAUGUUACAUAAAUAAGACACAUUCAUUGUAUAUUUCAGAUGGAUAUAGAAUGCGAAAUAAAAAUCAAAGAAAAACAAUUUUUUAAAUUUCAUUGCCGCAUAGAAAAUAUUAUUUUGUCAAAUUAAAUAGAACAACUUGAUUAAGUGAAUGAUGAAAUCAAAUCAAAUAAAGAUGCAAAAUGAUAGAUUGUGAUAAAUAAAUGAUGAAAAAUAUAUGUGUAAAAGAUACAAGAAUGGAUGCAUAACUUACAAUCAAUAAGAGCAUGAUAAAAGGGAGGAGAGACAAAACAUCUUUGUUUGUCAUUUCUUUAAUGUUAUGAUUUUGUGGGAAAAUUGUUUUAAUGUAAAAAGAUGUAUUGAAAUGGAAGUGAAUUGUGCUAUUUAUAAGUGAAUGAAAAGAAAAACUACAUUAAGGACAUUGAGACUUUGGUUGGCAAGAUUAUUUUUUUAAAUAUUUAGUUUAAAUUAUUUUUUAAAUGUUUAGUUUAAUUGAUAAGUUUAUAUGUCUAAGAAAGAUCAAUUUACUAAGAUUUAUUAUUUACAAGAUCUAUUAGGUGUGUUGUUUUGAGUUAUAAAAAAUAUUAAAAAAAUUGUUUGUUUGAUAUAUUUUUUUAAUUAGAAGCUCCUAACUAAAUCCUCUUAGUUUAAAAUAAAUAAAUUUUAGAACUGCUACUGCAAUUAUUUUUAUUUUAAAAUUAAAAAUGAUUUUCUAAAAAUCCUUAAUAAAAACAUAUUAAAAUGACAAAGGUGAUUUUGUUAAAUGUUAAACAAACAUUUAUUUUGAUAAGUUAUUUCAAAUAACUUAAAAUUUCAUAAAUUUAUUUUAAUUUAUAAUUAAAGUGGUAAUUAUGAUAAUCUCGCCUCUUGAGUUCUAAUAUUUGAGCUAAUAGUAUAAAUAUGUUUUAGUUGAAUUAGAAUUUGCAUUAGUGAUAGUUUCAAUUUUACAAUUAAUUAGACUAAAAUAUUGAUGUUCGUCAUAUAUAUAUAUAUAUAUAUNUAUAUAUAUAUAUAUAUAUUAAAUAGUAAUUAUAUAUUAUAAAUUUUAAUUUUGGGAAAAAAAUAUUAUUUCAAUAUUUUAAAAUUUUAAUAAUUAUUGUUUUAUAAAAUUAAUUAUAAUGAGUAUAAUAUUUUAAUUUUAUUAUCAUCAAAUAUACCCUACAUCAAAAUUCACAAACUUUAAAUAUAAAUAUCGGGAUCCACUUAAUUGAAUUGGAAUUUAAACAUCAAAAUUUAGACAAAUGUUAAAUUUUGAAGCACUUGGUUUUUGAAUCAUGACUCUUCUACAACCAACUCCUAGGGACUUACUACAUAGCCAACAAUGAAUCCAAAAUAGUUUCACAAGAAACACUAAAAUACUGUGUUGGCCUUUGCAUGUUUAAGAUGUUCACAUGUAGCUGGGGUUUGCGUGCUUAUGAGCUUACCUAAUAGUAAGUUAAAAAAACAAUAUAUUAUUAUACUGACCAGUCUAAAGAGAAAUAGAUAAGUUACUGUAUUUGUUAUUAUAAUCAAAUAUUAUCUAAAAAAGAAAUAAAUUAUAAGGAAUAUGUUUUCAUUAUUUUUAUCUUUAUUUAAAGAAUAUAAAUAUUUUUUAAUUAAUGAUAAAUAAUUGAUUUUAAAUGUGAUUACGGUUUAUAUCUUUAUCUAAGAAAAUAAAUGAUAAAAUGUGAAUACUCAUAUCUAAAAUUAAAUAUUUAUCCAAUUAUGUAGGCCAGCCUCAUAUUUAUUGUAAAAAUUUUAACAAAGUUUAAAAUAAUGAAAAUUAGAAUAAUGGUAUUCCUACAUUAAAUCUUACAUCAAAUACUUACAUUAAAUAUUUUUUACCGUAUUUAAACGAUGAAUAAUAUUUUUAUUUUUAAUAAAAAAAUAUUUAUAUAAAAAUGUUUUUAUUUUUAAAAUUAUUUUUAUAAUAAAAAUAUAAAAUUUAUCACAAAAUAAUUUUAUUAUCGUAUUAACUAUAAAAAUAUAGGUUAUAAAUCACAUAUUUCACUUAUAAUUCAUUAACCAGUAAAAUACAUAAUAUUAAUCAAAUUAUGAUAUUAAAAUAUGAAAUAUAUAAUUUGCUUAAUUAUUAUAUUUUAUAUUUUAAUGUCACAAUUUAUUUAUAUUAUUUAUUUUAUUAAUUGAAUAUAAUAAUAAGUAAAAUAUAUGGUUAAUCAUCUAUAUUUUUAUGAUUAAUACAAUAAUAAAAUUGAUUAGUGACAAAUUUUAUAUUUAUAUUACAAAAAUAAUUAUAAAAAUAUAUCAAAAACGAGUUUAAGACAACGUAGGAAAAAGUGAAGUGACACUCAAAUAUUAUUUGCUCAUUAAGCAAUCAGUUAAAAUUAAAGUGAAUUAACGAAUUAAGCAUAAAGUUUCACACAAUCAAAAUUAGGGAACAAUAAAUCAAUCGAACAAAACAAAACUACUAAGUUUUGAGUGUAAAAUUUGGUGUAAUAUUAAAAAUUAAAAAAAAAUUGAGGUUUAUAAGAUGUAAAAUUAUUUAUUAAACUCUUUUAAUAAAUUUAAUAUUAUGAUAAUUUAUUAUGAUAAAUAAUAUUUAAAAUAAGAAAAGAUUGAGCUUUUAAAGGAUGAAAUUCUAGUCAUUAGAUUAAAGAAAACAUCACCAAAACCUUAUUUCACAGAUGAAAUCGACUACAUAUAUGAUAUAUCAAUUUUCACGCUAAUAUUCUAUCAAUCACCAUAUUUUAUAGCCAUUAGACUAUUUAAUCAAAAUUAUUCAUAAUAAAUUUCAUUUGAUAUUUACUUUUUAAUAGAUAAUAAAGUAGAUAUAUUUAAUCUUUAUUAAAAAAUUAUUAAACAUUAUUGGUAUUAAAUAUGAUUUUAUUAAUUUUAAUUUUGAUAUAAUUAAUGGAUAUAAGUAUUGGCUCAAGAUAUAUCAAAGCCUUUGCCAAAUUUUUAACAAAGAUUUUAAUAAUAAAAAUUAUGAGUGUAAUAUUUAAAAUAAAAAAUUGAGCUUUUUAAAAUGUAAAAUUAUUGAUUGAAUUAUCAUAAAUCAGUUAAGUGUGUAUUUAUGCAAGAUGGGACAUCCCAUUUGCAGGGGCACAAAUUCAACCCACAACAUCUCACUUUUUAUCUUGGAAAAUUCCAAUCAAUAAAUUACUUGAUCCAAAAAAAUCAUAGUAAAUCUUGUUUGAUAUUUAUUUUCAAUCAAAUAUAUGUAAUCCUUAAUGAAACCUUAAACAUUAUUGAUUUUAAAUAAGAUUUUAUUAACUUUAAUUUUAUACCAUUAAUAGAAGGACUAUAUUCUGGAACGAAUUAAUAUAUUUUCGUUAUUCUUAUUUUUAUUUAAAUAUUUAAAUAUUAUUUAAAUUAAUAAUAAAUAAUUGGUUUUAAAUGUGAUGAAGUUUAUAUCUUUAUCCGAAAAAAUAAACGAUAGUGAAUAUUUAUAUUAAAAAAUAACACAAUACACUUAAAUAUUUAAUCUCCUUAACCUAUCUAAAUAUCUAGGCCGGCAUAAGACAUAUUGAAGUUUAGUGUAAAAAAUUUAACAAAGCUUUUAAUUAUAAAAAUUAUGACUGUAACAUUUAAAAUAAAAAAAAUUGAACUUUAUUAUUAGAUGUCAAAAUAUUUAUUAAACACUCUUAAUAAGUAUUAAAUAUAAAUUUAUUAAAUUUAUUUUUGAUACAAUUAAUGAAUAUAAGUACGGGCUCAAGAGAUAUACACGCCUUUGAUAAAAAAUUUAACAAAGAUUUUAAUUAUAAAAAUUAUGAAUAUAACAUUUAAAAUAAAAAAGUUGAUCUUAAAAGAUGUAAAAUUCUUUAUAAAAUUAUUAUAAUAGUUUUUGAUUAAUUAAUAUGCACAGUCAAUAUCAUUUUUUUAUUAUUAUUAUUAUUAUUAUUAUUAUUAUUAUUAUUAUUAUUAUUAUUAUUAUGCGUCGGUGUACAACUCAUAAAAAAAGACGUCAAUCAUAAAUAUAUAUUGGUACAGUGUCGUCAAUUGGAUUGACGCAUCCUCGUAGGUGUUAUAUGCAGGGAUGAAGCUAGAGAUUUUGAACUGUAGGAGCAAUAUAUUAAUAUAUAAAUUUAUUUCUAUUUAUUUUUAAAUCAUAAAUAUAUAUUUAAUUUAUUUUUAAAUCAUAAAUAUAUAUUAUAUCUAUUUUUUAAGAAAUCUAUCUCUAAAACAAUUUUUAUUAAUUUUUUAAAAUUUUAAAAUUUUAAAAUUUUGUAAAUUUUAAAAUUUUAUUAUCAAGAAAAAUAUUUUUUUAUGUAUUUUUUAUGAGAUCAUAAUAUUAACAUAAAAUUCUAUAAAUCAAUUUUUUUAAAGAUCGAGGAAAAAAUUAUUUUAAAAUUAUAACAAGAAAAACAAUUCAAUAUAUUUCAUCUGACAUGUUUUAAUUUAAUUAUUGAAAAUAAAAAAUUCACUAUAUUUUUGGACAAUAUCCUAAAUAAAUAUUCAUAUACUUUAUUAUUUUCAUCUAAUUUUUAGUAAUAUCUUCAUAAUAAUAAUAUUAUUUAUAUAAAUUUAAAAUAAUAUAAAUUUAUAUAUAUAUAUAUAUAUAUAUAUUUAUAUAUAUUAUAUAUAUAUUAAUAUAUAUUAUAUAUUAUAUAUAUAUAUAUAUAUAUAUAUAUAAUAUAUAUAUAUAUAUAUAUAUAUAUAUAUUAUAUAUAUUAUUUAUAGUAGGGACCAUUUGUCUUAUGCUAUUUUAAUUUGUUAUUUCUUAAUUUCCCCGUCUAUUUCAGUGUUUGGAUUAAAAAAAGGGGGGGGUCGGGGGUUCCCUCUUGGGGGUGGGUUUAGUAUUUUAAUGUUUUUUUACUUAAUAUUUCUUUUGUGUUUUUCACAUUCUUCUAUGUCUUAGAUUGACGUCUUCUUUAUUUUGAAAGUGGGUUACUCUCAGAAAUAAUUGAAAAAGUAAAUUAUUUUAGAUAUCUAUUUGAAAAGUUAGAAAAUCUUAAAUAUUAUUCAUUUUAAAUAAUAUUUUAUUAAUAUAAUUUUUAAUACCAUUAAUAGAAGGACUAUAUUCUGGUAUCAACCGAAAGGAUUAUAUUAUUGGACUAUUUUAAAUUUCCUAUUAUAUUGUUGUCGUCUAUUAUCAAUUUAUUUUAUCAAUAAAUCACUAUUUGAAAUUUUAUUAGUAUUUAAGUCUUUAAAUUCAUCUACACCUUUGACUUCUACUAUUAAUUUUCAUUUUCAUUUUUUUAAUGUUUAUAUAACUGGUACAUUGUUAACUUGUUUAUUUAAUAAACAUUAAGCAAUAUUUUUAAAUUAACUUUUUAAUUUAUUUUUAUAAAUUUAUCUAAAGUUCCCUUUUAUAAUUUAAUUAAAAUUUCAACUCUCUUUUUUUAAUUUCUAAUUUUUUUUAUUCAAAUUUUUUUAAUUGACAUUACUCUAAAUAACAUAAUAAAACAAUUUCCACAAUAAACACAAACAAAAAAAAAAUUCAAAAAUAAGAUAAUUGAUUAAAUAUAAAUGAUUUAAAUUAAAAGUAAAUAAAAUAAAAUUGCAUAAAUAAAAUAUAAUUUUAUCCUUUUACAAUGCUAGAGAGGACAUACACUUUAUCAUAGAAGUAACGAUUAAUUAAUGGAGAUGAUGAAUUAACAUAUUUUAUACUCUCAUAUACACAUUUUAGGUUGGAAAUGAUUUGAUAUAAUCCUUUAUCUAACCUGUUUAAAUUUUAAUGGGUUGAAUUUGUCGUUCAACCCACAAUUUCAUUGUCAAAAUUGACAGAAACCGACUUGUUUAUUUAAGGGUUGUGUUCGCGAUGUUUUAAAUAAAAAUUAUUUUUUUAUAUAUUUUUUAAGAUAUAAAAAAUUUAACCCAAUUCAAAUUAGAUGAAACACAUCAUAUAAUGUCUAAUAAAGUUCAUCAACACGACAUAACACUCGAUAAUAGUAUUAAAUUCUAAUAGUAUCAAUGUUAAAUUAUUUUAAAACAAUUAUUUUAAUUAACUCUUUAAUCAUAACAUUUAUUUAUUAUAUUUUUAUAAUACAUUAUAAUAAAUAUAUUAUAAAUAUUCUUAUUUUUAAUUAGAAAUAUAUAAUGAUAAGUUAAUUAAAUAAUUAUGGUUUGUGAAAAACAAAAACAAAAUCAACGUCAAAGUUAUAUGCUUCAACAAUUUAUAUAAUGACUCAUUUUUAAAUAAAAUAGCUUUAAAAAUUAAAAGUUUGAAAAAUAAUAGUUGAUAUAUUAUAUAUUUUAUUUAUUUUUAUGUUGACAAUAUAAAACAUAGACAUUAAUUUUAUUCUUUAACCAUAAUUUUUAUAAUAUAUUAAAAUAAAAAGUAGUUAAAAUUAACUAAUAAAAUUAAUUAUAAAUAGUUUAAAUAAUUUAAUUAUUAUCAAAUAAAAAUAUAUAAAAUAUUUAUUUAGUAAAGAAUAUUAAAACGAAUAACAAAUUAUAUGAGAUGAUAUGACUUUUUUAUAAUCUUUUGUUUUCUUAAGUUAAAUUAUUUAGUAGAUAAAAAAAAAAAUUAAAAUUGAUAUAUUUCUCUCUCUUCUUUAAAUGAUAUUUUUUUUUCUAUUUCUUACCUUUUAAUAGUUGGAUUAAUCAAAUGGUUUAAAAUUGCACAUGAGAGAGGGCAUAAGAGAAAAAAUUGGAGAGGAUCCAAUUCCGAUAAAAAGAUGUGGUAAAUUUAUGAGUAGUUUAAUAAUUUAUACAUAUUUUUAGCCUUAUUAAUUGUCACUUCGUUGAAAAAGAAAAAGGAAAUAAUAAUAAUGAUAGUGAUAAUAAUUAAAUAAUAUUGAAUUUUUUGACAAAUAAUGUUAUUAAAUAUUAUUGAAUAUAAUAGAUGAAAGAGAAAAAAAAAUGAAGAUCUUUGUCUGGCUUACCUCCUCGUUGAAUAGGGUAUGCUAACUAUUAAUAUGCCAAAGCCUCUUUAAAAAAUUAAACAAAUCAAUUAUAGGAUCCGAUAACUAUUAAGGAAUUUCUUAUGUCAUCAUAUGAAAUGGAAAAACUAUACAAAAUUUAAAAUAUUCAUUCAAGUUUAAAGAUGCAUCUUCGAAUACACAUUUGUAUCACCUUAUGACGCACUAAAUGAGCGACACCCUAAAGUAAAAUAAAAUCUUAUUCCAAAGAUACAUCUCUGAGUAUUUUGAACAAAUAUAUUGAUAUUUAAGCAAGCGUCCUCAGCAUGACCAGAUACCUGUAUCAUACACUCAGUUGCUGUCGUAUCUUGUCCAGUAAGGGGCAAUUGCGCCAAAAGAGAUUCCGCAUGCAACUCCUCCCUAAAAUCACAAGCAUAAUCCUAAUGUGCCUUGUUCAUUUCAUGUCGGAUACAUAGGGCAUUCUAUAGAGGAUUAUUUGGUCCUCAAGGCCAUAAUGCAAGAGUUAAUUGACCAUAAGGUUUUGUCAUUCUUUGACGCAUGACCCAAUGUCAUAAACAACCCGUUGCCAGACCACUGUGGACAAAUAGUGAAUGCAGUUAGUGGCGAAGAUUGCUCAGAUUCAGUUGCUUCUUCAGAGGAGUAUCGAUGCUAGCAAUAUCAUAUUGAUUCAAUCAUGUAUCAUUUGUAAUCCUUUCUUGUUUUUUAAAUGUUGUUCAUUUGUAACUUGUCUGGUUUUUCAGAUGAUAAUAAUAAUGAAAUAAACGUGCAUGUUUUGCUUAAAUCCAUUCGUGUCCACUCAUAUUUUAUUUUAUCAGUAUCAAACUGUUUGUCGAACAAAAUCAAAAGAGAAUGAUGCAAUUAAAAAUACGCAAGAUCGCUGCCUGUAUGGUUUUGAAUAAGAUCGUGCUGAUGAUGUAAGGCAUUGUUCAAUCCCUAAACACCGGAGAUAUAAGGAAGAUAAUCCCUAGUCAACCCCUUUGGGUAUUGUAAUAGGAGUUUCUUUCUUGAACACAUAAAACCCUCAUGCUUAACCAGGGGCAGAGUAUUCUUCAGUUAGUUUAGACUUGCAUUCAAAUUUAAGAAGGACAAUAUCUCAUCCAGUGAUCAAUCAUAUCAUAUCCCUCUCAAGAGGAUGGAAUCAUAAAUCCAGGAUGGUUAUCCCUUACCCAUCAAAAAGAGUGAGAUAAUCACGACUCGUGCAACAAAUCGAGAAAGCUGUGUCACAAGGUUUUCUCUAGUACAAAAAUAAAAGAUGAAACAAAAUUAAAAGCCCGCUAAGUCAAAAGCUUGAAAACAAGAUUGACUUAGGCAAAAGUCAGGGUAUCCCGGUGGGAUGCAGACCCAAAGGAUCAGCCUAGGAAAAAAUAAGGGUAAACAAAACAAAAGAAUUAGAGGAUCAAUACCAAAAUUCGUAGCGAGAGCAAAUCCCUGUGACUAUAAACAAAAGCAGAAGGCGAGUGGCUAUCGCUCUAAAUUCUCGUGGAUUCCUUAAACCAUCAUUGUUGAUAUUCAAAAUCCUUUCUGAAAGACGAACGCUUAUUUUAAGCUAAUUGAAUAUAGAACUAGAUAACAUCACACAGAAUGGGUGGGUUAGAAUAGGUUUUGAGCCUUAUAUCCUUUCUUUCUGAAACCGUGAACUAGGCCAAGUUACAACCCUCAAAAGACCUAAUUGAAGUAGGGUUUAUUUCAAAAGCAUACUAUGGUAAGAUCGCGUUAAGCUGACUCCUUAAGAUUUUCUUGUCAUAUGUUUGAUACUGAUAUGGCAUUCUAAACAGUGAUUUGUUCACUAGAUGUCAUAAUCUUAGUGAACACACUUGAGUUUUCAAAACUUGCAUGAGCAUGACAUUACAAUUAUCAUUUUAAAAAUGAGCGUUUUACAUGCGAACAUGCAUUUGACACCAAGGAAGCUUACAAUGGGAAAGUUGAUCAAAUUCCUAAUAUCCCAUAGCUCAAAUCUCUUCAAGAGCCCGUCAAUCUAAGGCACCAUGCCAAGAUUUUGCAAAUCUCUCUGAAUCAGCUGUAUAAGGGAAAAGUUUAAUUCGAAGUUCAUAUUGGGGAAGGCCACCUCAAGAGCAUGAGAAGUCAAUCACUCCUAAGAUAAUUAACUAGGAGGAUAUAGUUUCAAGAUGCUGGGGCAAGCCAGUUUGAGAUACUCAGAUGACGAGAUCACUCUAAUUUGUAAUUGGAGAAAUUGGUGCAGAUAUCCAAUACAUUGGGGCAGAGGCAGGCUACGCAGGUACAAGCUCUCUCCAUGUUCUAGACAUAAUCCAGAGGUGUGACAACAAUUUUUCAGCUUGAAGUAGGUUCGAAGAAUCACGUCUGGAGGAUACCAUAUCCUAGCCAAAAAUUUCCACCUCCCUCUAUAUGAGCACCUGGAUUAACCAUUGCAUAAAUCAUUAUCAUGAAUAAAUCACGUCGCUUCACUCAUGCAUACCAUUCAUCUAUCAUAGCAUGAAGCCGUGUGUGAGAAUCAAAGGAAUUAAAGCCCAGUAUUUUAUUGGCAUCUCCAAAUUCCAAACUUGCCUGGUACCUUUUUAAACCAUCUAGUUUGACAAUUCUUCCAAAAUCCAAUUUGCUUGGCGUCUUUUAAGCCCAGUUUGCUUGGUAUCUUUUUUCGACCUUUAGGGUCGAUGAUCCUCUUUUCCAACAUUCAUGGUUGAGGAACCUUUUUUCAAUCUUCAGGAUUGAUAACCUUUUUCCAAUCUUUAGGGUUGACGAUCUUUGUUUCUAACCUUCAUGGUUGUUGAAUCUUUUUCCCACCAUUAGGGUGAUGAUAGACUUUGUUUCCGGCCUUUAAGGUUGAUGAUCCUCUUGCUUUCAACCUUUGCGGUUGUUGAAUCUUCUUCCAACCAUCAUGGUUGUUGAAUCUUUUUCCUACCUUUGUGGUUGUUGAAAAUUUUUCCAAACCUUCUUGGUUGAUGAACUUUUUCAAUCUAUGUGAUUGACAAACUUUUUUCCAAACUGUAAGGUUGAUGACCUUUCUUUUUUUCAAACCUCUGUGUUUGACUUUGUUUCCAGUUUUUGAACUGAUGAUUCAUUUGUGAAACCCCUUGUUUGCAAGAAUAUUUUGGAACUUUCAUGCGCUCUUUGAUUAGCAUACAUGGCCACAUGUUUCAAAAAUGAUAAAAAAAAAUACAAUUUAGCAUGCAUAUCAUGAUCGUCAUUUGCCAUUAAUAUCCCCACAGUACAUCAAAAUCACCAGCAAAUAAACCCGUAAAAAAUCAAGUUGAUAUCCCUAUAUCUCAUACAAUUGUCCUUCAAGGAAAAAAAUUCGGAUACUUCGAUAUUUAAUCCACGCAUACCUUAAAAAGCUGAAAAGCUCUCGCAAUUCGACCAUUCAGGUCUAAGCUGAUUAAAUAGGGGCAGAUGUCGUAUCCUAAAUUUGUCCUCCCUAUUUCAUCUUUCCACUCAAUUUAUCAACUUGAGAUUCAUCUGUACCACAUUCAUAUUUCAUUCAUAUGCAUCAUUCAUUAAUCAUACAUUCAAAGCUUGUGGCCUGCAAAUCUAAGGUUUGUUGAUGGGACAUGGCUCUUCAUAGGCUCAUCAUGUGAGGGGAAACCCUAAUUUCAUACUCUUUUAGACUUUGAUUCAAAAAGGUUACAAUCACGACAUUCAUUUAGUCAUUCAAACCCUUAUUCCUGACUUUGUUGUCUUUCGGUCUCACAAGCUUUCACCUGUGUAUCAUGAAGCCCUAAUCAGGGAAGAUUUGGUCCGGUUGCACCUUAUGGCUUGACUUUUCAUCUUGUGUGUGCUGGAAACCCUAAUUCAUUAGGGAGAGGUGUUUGACUAUCCUAUUAUGCAUGCCUACUGGUUUGGAAUUGCACAUGAUUCAGGUCUUGUUUCAAGCAUCCCUAUGCCCAUCACAUUUAACUUUGCAUAGGCCAUUAACUCAAGUCUUUUGGUAUGGGCAAAUGCAUAGACCCAUAUGCCCGAUUCACUUCAUUCAUAUGAUGCAGAUGAUCAAGGAUGAUUGGUCCAUUUAAGAUUUGGUUCCAUUGGUUCAUUCUUUGUUUCUUAAGCAAAAUCAUUAUUUCAUUUGAAUUAUGUCAUGUGAAAACCCUAAUUCAAAUUUCACAGUUGACUUCGAUUAACUAGUUUACCAAAGUCAACCAUCCCUUUUUGAGUCCAUUAAACUUUUUCAUUAAUCAUUCACACUUAAUCACAUUUUUCGAGCUAUUUGAUGCAUCCAAUUCAUUCAAUUUUCAAAUGUAAUUUUGACCAUUCCAAACAUUUUAACCAUUCAAGGUUAACAAUUUAAGUUCUAUAAACCAUCUUCUUUUACAAUAUAUUUCCACUCAUAAACUUUCCAUAAGCAUUCAAAAUUUUCCAUCAUAAAUAUCAUUCAAUACAAUAAACUUGUCCAUGGUUCGCGCAUUUAAUCCUUUCUUUCCAUCAUUUAUUUGCAUUGCAAUUCUAUUCAUCCAAAGUAUCAAACUUUUCAUAAUCACCAAGUUCCAUUCCAAUACAUUCAAGUUUUACCUACAACUUUCCUUUACAAUUAUUACAAACCAUUGUUUUACAUUGUUACACUAUGUAUCAACCAUAUCCUACAUAACCAUAUUAACCAUUCCAAAUGAUCAAGCAAGAUAGAAUUUCAUUCACUAACCAUACAAGAUAUCUCAAGCAUACAUUUCCAUUUCAAGCUACAUUAUAAUGCAUCAUAAUCCAACAAUAUCAUGAAGCAGCCCAUGGCCUCUUAUGCAUUCACUAGAAAUAUUUCCAUAGCACAAAUUGGCCAUGUCCCAAAAGAUAAUGCACAAAAAAAGCAUGAAAUAUCAUGAUUCUGUUAGGCUCUGUUUUGAAAUUAUUUACCUGAUGAACAACAGACAUAAAUGCCGAUCGAGGUUAUAUGGAAGCUUCAAAUACUGAAAAAGAAAACACACCCAUUGCAUUGAUGGCUACAGCUCUUCCUUUGAAACGCCAUUGAAGCUUCAAUUCGUGGAGCUUAAACCACUGCACCUCUUCGACCUCACGCGGAAAACGCAACAACAGCAUAUGCUUAGAAGAACAGAGGGAGAGGAAUAAGAUUGCAGCAACAUAACAGAAAGAGUGAAGGAACAAAAUUGAGACGAAGAAAAAGGGAAGAGAUCGGUCAAUACCUGUUCGCAGUUGAAGCAUCAAAUUUGGUAAGUCCUUUUGAUUUUCUUUUCUUUCUGUUUAAGUCCGCGAGCACAAUGUUGGAUGGAAUCACAUGUCGAUGAGGUUGAACACAAUCCAUGAACUCUAUUAUCUGUUAGAAUUAGAAUAUUAGGUUAUUAAGUGACAAUUAGAAAUUGUGAUUUAAUUAGAAUUCUAGUAUUGAUAGAUUUUGGAUUUUCAUUAGAAUUAAUUAGAAAUUUUAGAAUUUAACUAGGGUUUUAGAAUCUAUUUUAGACUAAUUAGAUUUUCACAUAAUUAUAUAUAAUUAUAAUUAAUUAGUUUUUGAUUAAAUGUUGAUUAUUAGAAACUAUUUUCCUAAUUAAUCCAUUUAUGCAUAUUGACUAUUUUACCCUUUAGAGGUUAUGUUUGUCAUUUUAGCCAUAAGGACAUGUUCCUUUAGGUUUAGAUCUUGACAUCAAUUUUUAAUCAAGUCUUGACCAAUUAUAUCAUGAUCCCUUAGGAUAGUUUGUAACAAAUUCUAACCAUUAGAUUAGGAUUUAAUCUAGUUUUCAAACUAAUUCAAACCUUCUGAUUCAAAUUGAUCAAAAGCAAUUUUGAUCAAUUAAAUCAUUUGAUAUUGUAUAAUCCCACAGUCUAAUUUGAGUGACACAAAUACUCUUGGUCACCUAAUGAGACUUUUUCGGUAAGUUGUGGAGCUCGAGGCCUCAAGUCAUAUUUUCAAUCAAGGCAUCAUCGGUCAGACCAAGCAGUGGAUAAUACAAGGUACAUCAAAGGUGGCAUCUUUGAGAGCUUGUCAAAUCAAAGUUAUGAUUGUGUGGCAUGAGCCUUGAGUAAUGAAGAAAGAAUGAGACUGAAGAAUUCCUACCCCCAUCAACACAAAGGGCAUCAUGUCAGCAACUUGUUAAUUUUGAUUCAAGUUGCAUGCCAUGAGCCUUAAGAAACAAAGAAUGAUGAGAGUGGGGAAUUCCUAUCCUUGUCUAGAAUAUUCUUGGGUACGGGACGAAUGACCCAGUUGCUCAAAGUAUUCGCCUUUUUCCAUAGACUUUGGUGCAAUUUAAAUCAUGCAAUUGACAAGCCUUCUUCUUCAAGCAAGCAUCAAUCAUUCAACACUUCAAUAGUGAAACACCAUUACCCCCUUUAGUAUUGGACUUUCCUCCUGGAUGUUCAUACAUUUCUUGGGAUUAUUACCUUGGGGUCACAUACCCAUCUCGCAAUCAAUUGCUUCAUGCAUUGCCUAUCAGUUCACACUAUGGCAUACUUCAUUGCUUGCCCUCAACGUACAGACCCUGACAUUCAGCCUAUGGAGUACAUACUCUGGCUUUGUUUCUUCCCCAUAAGGUACAGACCUUGGCAACUUCUUGCAGCCCAUAGAGUAUAGACUCUGGCUUUAUUCCUUGCCUACAACAUACCGAUCUUGGCAUCCUUGCCCUAAUGAGUUCAGACUCUGGCCAUCUGAUUUUGUCUAUACAGUACUGACUUUGACAUAUUAUUAUGCCUUAUAGUUAAGACUUUGGAAUUCAUUCAUCCAGCCCAUUGGGUUCAGACUUUGGCAUCGUACUAUUUUGCCCUUAUGGAGUUCAGACUCUGGCAUUCAAAUCAGUUCAUUUGCCUUAUAUAGUUCAGACUAUGGCAUGCUUAUACAUCUUGCCCAUGGAGUUCAGACUCUGGCAACCUUUAACAUUGUCUUGAAGUCAGACUUUAGAAUUAUAUCUCCUUUUCCCUUAUUGAGUUCAGACUCUGAGAAUCUGUUCCUUGCCUUUGUAUUAGUUCAGACUAUGGAAUUCAUCUAUCUUGCCUUGUGGAGUUCAGACUCUGGCUAUAUCUCAUUUGUCCUUAUGGUUGAUUACCAUCUUUGGUAAGUGUCAUACUCUCGCUUAUUAAGCAAUCACCUUGCCUCUGAGCAAUCCUAUCAAAUCUCCCUUUGCUUUCAGUUGUAGUAGGCUAAACUACGAUUGCUCUGAUUUUCUCAUUGCACGAUGAGAAUACAUAGGCACAAGGGUUCAAAUCCUCCGUGAGCAUACUUAUUUAUUACUCCUACCUUAGGGCAUUUCUCCAUCCAUCUCCAUGAUACAGUCAUAUACUACCUUUAUUCACUUCAUGUGAUAUACCCUAUUCUUUGAGCCAAAUACAUUAUACCUUUGUGCUCCAUCUUGUACCCCUUUGUGAACCAAGAGAUGUUUCUGUUGUGAAACCAAAAUUAAUUUCCUUUGUUUUCGGCUAUACCAUAUAGUGGCGAAUGUUCAGACAAUCCAUAUAUCGGUUUAUUCCAGUUUUACUCUUGGGUUCACGCUUUCACCCCUUGUUGGGGUUCAAAAUAUUAUCCUCUGGUUCAGGCCAUACCUUGAUCACAACUUCCUUUUCAUCUCCCACCACUAGUUCUUUGAACUACGAAGUUAUGAAUUCCUCAUUGCACUAUGAGUAUACAUAGGCAUGAGGGCCCUAAUCCUCACCGAGCACUCUAUCUAUUUCUUUUCAUUUUCCCCAUUCUUUUGCGAGUAAUCUUUAGAUACAACACUCAUUCGAGCGAGAACAAUCAAAACGGUUCCCAUGGAGUACCAUAGAUGUUAGGGAUGCUAAUACCUUCCCAUUGCAUAAUCAACUUCCUUACCCAACAUAUCUCUUUCCCCUGGGUUUUAUCGAUGUGUUCGGGUAUAUUUCCGCUAGCUGCAUCACCAACUCCAAAAUCUCAAAAAAGUGUUUUUAAAGGAACUCGCAUUAGCAAACCACCUCCUUCACCGUCUCUACCAAAAAUUUCAUUCAUUGACGAGAUGUUAUUUUUUUCAUAAAUACAUCGAACAAAUCGUCAAUGUUGAGGGUGACGGUAAUUGCGAUUUUCGAGCUAUUUCGAUUUUGCUGGGUAAAGGAGAAGAUGAUCACACACUUGUCUGCCAUCAACUUAUCCAUGGUUGAGGACCCAUAUAGAAUUAUACACACGACUUUACCGAAAGAAACAAAAUUUUGAUGCAAUUUAUGAGUCUUUUAUUCCUUGCAUUAGUGGUCCGAAACCAGAGGAAAAAUGAAUGUGCUUCCCUGAAAUGAGUCAUCUCAUAGCAAGUGCAUCUGAUAAAGUGUGUAUUGGUCUUACAAGAUACGAUUUUUUGGAAACUUUUUUUCCACUGCGCACCACCCAACCUCAAAAUCUAAAUGAUCGUAUUUUGUGUAUUAGAAUACCUUUAAAAUUACGACACUUUGUUCAAAUUUAUUUGAAACGGGAUGUCGUAUACCACUUACAUCAGUGGAGUGGACAACUCAUUCAACAAUAAAAUCCGGGACUUAGACGGGCCAAUUUAUGGAAAAGAUGCAAGAGUUUACCAAAUUGAGCGACAUUGAAAGUGAAUAUAAUGCACAAAAGUCAAAGGGGGAACCACUCAUACUUAUAAAUUUAGCCAUCGACAAAUAUUUCGAUUCGUUUUAGUUUUUCGUUAUCAAUUAAUUGUAUAUAAUUUUGUAUUAAUAGUAAGGGUUAAUAACAUUUUUAUAGAAACAUUCUAGUUGUACCUUGGGGGGAAUGACCCAUGAUUGAUGCUUACGUGUCAUGAUAAAUAUCAUGAUAUAUUUUAGUUUUUAGUUUUUUAAUUACAUAUAUGCUUACGUGGACUUACAGUUUUUUAUUUAUGAAUUAUUUCUAUUUUCAUGUGAAAAUUUAUUUUCUUUUUCAUUUAUUUUAAUCAUAACAAUUAUCAAAACUACUUUAAGAAAGUUCUAAAAUUUUGUCAACAAUGAAAUUCUCAUACGGAUUUGGCAAGGAACUUUGAAAGGAGAUUUGAAAGCGUGAACCACAACCAUAGAUAGGAAGAAGGAGAAUUAGGGUUCAACAUAGUUUGAACCGUGUUUAUGUUUAUGUUAGGGACCGAUUCGGGCUAGACCCAAUCUAGGUUCGGUUGAUCCACUAACCAUUAGUUUUUUUUUUAAAUUAUUUUGUGAGUAUACCAUUUGUUGUUUGGCCUUACCUAUUUGUGACUUGGGCAAACCCCACUUUAGGAGCCAUCUUGUCUUAUUUAUUUAUUUAUUUUUGUCUUUUCCUCAACCUUUUUUAUUGCAUUAAUAUUUUAGUAAAAGAAUAUAUAAAAAACAUAAACUUUUUCAUGAAAAAAAAGGUGGUUUACAAUUUUAUAAUAAUUGAUUUUUAUUGUUAUUUCAAUUUUUUUAUCAAUAAAUAAAUAAAAGUAGACAAAAUUUGUUUGAUGCGUGCCUUAGGGUUUCUUUUUCCUAUCAAGCUAUAUCUCAAAAGAAGAAUAUUUCUUUAAGAAUUAUUCCUUUUUUUAAAAAUAAAUUUGAUUCCAUUAUGGUUUGAUUUGUUUGAUCUUUAUUGAUUGUGUGAAUGCUUGUAUUGUUCAUACUUGAUCCAUGAUUUAUGUAACCUUUCACUUAGACCUUCGAUUGUUAGUAAGAUAAAAGUAAAUGUGCAAUAAAAUCAACCUUUUAAAAUAAGAUUCAAACACUCUAUCGAUAUGAAUUUGGUUUUAAAAAGAUCUCACUAUUUUCACCAUCCAUUCAAAGUUAAUUUCAAGUCAUCUCACAAAUUAUUUUCAUGCUAACACGAAUAAACCCUCGAUCAACAUCGAGUUUCUUUUUUGCUUAUUAAAAACUUGAAAAUCAUUUUCAUAAUAAAUCAGUUGAAAAAGGAAUGGGAGGCGCACACAUCUCUACUCCUCGAAUAAGUGAGUGAUUGGUAGACUCCAUAUUGCUCUAACUUUCAUCUUCCGAAUAAAAUAUCCUAAAUAAACAUGGAUGAAAAAGGAAGAGAGGCGCACACAUCUCUACUCCUCGAAUAAGCAAGUGGAAGACACACACCUCGCUACUGCGAAUAUUUUUUCUUCCGCAAAUAAUUUUCAAAAUAUUAAAAUCAAACAAAAAAGGAAUGGGAGGCGCACAACUUGUUGCUCCUCGAAUAAGUGAGUGAUUGGUGCGCGCCAUAUUGCUCGAGCUUUCAUCGUCUUCCUACAAAACACUAAACCAAUCAAACCUAUUUUCUCGCCCCCUUCGUUCAUCCCAAGACGAUGUAAACACGCUUCAUUUCUACCAUGCGCAAGAAGUUAUAACUCUUUUCGCUCGAAUGUGACGAGAACAAAUUUGUGAGAAUCUGGAUUAUGUUAUUCAUUCUAAUGUGAUGCCAAUGUUCACUUCUCCAUGUUUUUAGUAGCAAAUAAUGUUUUCGCUCGAAUGCGACUAAGUACCUUUCGUAAAAACUGAUCAACAAACAAAAAAUUUCUACCCAGAACUACGUAGCCUUGAGUUUUUCAUCGCACCUGAGAUAUGUAGAAGCGAGACCCGUAAUCUCGUCAGGCACAUUAAUAAAAGAAAACAUUUUGCGACCCAUUUUGUUUUCUCUUUACACUUUUGACCACUCGAAGAAAACAUAUGACAUAAGCUAAAAUUUCAACCACAAAUCUAACUAAAUGGUUCCCGUUGAGUGUAACAGAUGUGAGGGGUGUUAAUCCCUUCCCCUCGCAUAAUCGACUCCCAAACCUGAAUUUGAUUGUGACAAACAUUUUCUUUUUCUUUUAAGGAUUUUAUCAAUAUUUCCCCUCCUUUUUGGAAUAAAUCAAUUUUGAUGGUGACUCUGUUAUCUUGACCAUGCAAGCGCUCAUGGUCAUUUUUCGCGUCGCGACACUACUGUACAAUAGUUAUCUGUAUCAAAAACUAAAAUAUUUGUGUCUGUAUCUUGUUGUCUAGGAUUGUUGGAAACGAGAAGGAUGGAAAAAUAAAGUGUGUUUAUUUUUCUAUGUUGUAAAAUCACAAGGUGGUUUUUCUUGGUGAUUAAGUUAGAAUCUUGUGUAUAGAAUCUAGGUUUAGGCUUGUACAAAAUAAUAACAAUAUUGAAAUCUCUUAUAGUGUCUAAGGGGACUGACAUACUCUCAGAUUGUGAUGGGAACUAGUAUGAUUUUCGAUGUUAUUUACUUUAUGCACUUUACUGCUUUCACCACCUAACCAUAAACCAAAAAAUAAAGAAACAUUCAUCUCUAAAAACAAUGUACUUACAGCGAGAGCAUGAUAUUCCGCUUCAGUACAUGAACAAGACACAAAAUUUUGUUUCUUUAAGCGCUAUGAAAUCAAGGAGUUACCCCAUAACACAUAAAUGCUAGUGUAUAUUUCCUAGUAUCCAGACAACGUGCCCAGUCGAAGUCAGCAAAACCAUGCAGCUUUAAGGAAUUAUUGCUGGCAAAAAAAUGCCUCGAGUAGGAAAUGCCUUCAGAUACUUCAAAACUCGAGUGGCUUCCUAACGGUGAGGAACCAAGGGGUUAGCCACAUAUUGGCUAAGGUGACGGACAAUAAAAGAAAUACUUGGCCGUGUGUUUGUAAGGUAAAGUAGCCUGCUAAUUAAUUUACAAUAUGAAGAAGGGUCCUCUAAAGGAGUACCUUCACUAGAUGAGAGCUUCAUGUGAGGAUCAAUAGGUGUGGAGACAAGCUAAGCCCCAAGAAAACCAGUGUCCUCAAGCAGCUAGAGCAUGUAUGUUCUCUGGCUGAGAAAGAUACCAGAAGUAGAACGUGCAAUUUUGAGGCCCAAGAAGUACCUUAGUUGACUGAGAUCUUUAAUGCAAAAUUGUUGAUGCAGGAAAGACUUUACUUGUUUAUUCCACAAUCGAGUCGCUUGUCAAGACAAUAUCAUCAAUGCACACUGAUAAGGAAGUGAAACCAUGAGGUGUGAUCUUGGUGUAUAAUGAGUGACCAACAACAGAUUGAGAGUAGCCUAAUGAAAUGAGAGCUGAAGAAAGCUUAGAAUGCCAUUGUCGACUGACCUGUUUCAGUCCAUACAAUGAUUUUUUUAAGUGUACAAACCUUGUUGGAUUCAAGAUUACCAUAGCCAAGAGGAAGAGACAUAUAUACUUCUUUAUUUAGGUCUCCAUGAAGGAAGGAGUUUUUAACGUCCAGUUGCUCAAGGUGCCAGUGUUUGACAGCUGCAAGAGAUAAAAGAACACGAACAAUAGUAAUUUUGGCAAUUGGGAAAAAAGUAUCAAAGUAAACUACAUGUUCUAAUUGAGUGUAACCCUUGGCUACCAACCGGUCCUUGCAUAUAUCAAUAGAGCCAUUGGCAUGGUACUUGACUUUGUAUAUCCAUUUACAACCAACUGGAGUUUUGCCUAGAGGAAGGUCCACAAUGGUCCAAGUUUGAUUGUCCUUAAGAGAUGCAAUUUCAGUAUCCAUGGCCUACUUCCAACAGUCAUGUUUAGAGGUAUGAAGAUAGGUUUUUGGUUUAAAUAUGGAUGAAAUAGAGCAACAAAAGGAUUUGUAAGUUGGAGAGCAUUUUUUAUAUGAUAUAAAGUUGGAGAUAUGGAAGGUAGUGGAAGAGGAGUUAUUUAUAGAGGCAUAUCUAUUUGAUGAAAGAAAGAGAUUACAAUAAUAGUCUUUGAGAAAACUAUGAGGGUGUUUGGUUCUCAUUGAUUUUUGAGUUAGUAGUGUGGAUUGGUUUUGGGGAAUGUCUGAGGGAGGGUUAGAAUUAUGUGGAUACAUGUUAUCAACUAAGGUAUCAUGAAGGAUGUUGGGUUCAAAGUCAAUAACACUAGGAUCUUGGGUACUUGGUGAUGGAUUAAAAGUAGUUUGAUAUGGACUUGAGGUACUAGAGUCAAUCAAAGUAGGUUGAUUGAGACUUGGAAGGUUAGGGAUAAGUCCUGUUUCAGAAGUAAUAGGAUAAUCAUAAGAAUUUGUGACUGGUGUGACAACAGUAGAAGGAGUGGACAUAUGAGGCUCAGGGGUCAGAGUGAGGGCCUGAGGUGUAACAUAGUCAAUGUCAUAGGUGAUGUCCAUCAAGCUAUGAAUAUAAGUAGGGAGAUUUGUGGCAUUACUUUUGAAUGGAAAGGUGGUUUCAUAAAAGAAAACAUUUAGAGAUAUGAAUAAGUUAUGAGACUGAAGGUCAUAGAGAAUAUAACCUUUAGUACCAUCUUUGAAACCAAGGAGAAUGGCUUUUCUAGCCCUACCAUUGAAUUUUGUUAUGUGGGUCUGUAAAGUUGUUGAAAAACAUAAACAAACAAAGACUUUCAAAUGAACAAUAAUAUAUUAAGUUUUGAAAAAGCAACUCGUAUGGAGAUUUUGACUGAAGUUGAGGACUAGGGAUCCUAUUAGUCUUGUGGACAACAUGUUGAAUACUGAAGUUCCAUAGGUUUAAAGGAAUAUGUGUUAAUGUUUUCUCUCAACCACCCCAUUUUGCUGUUUUUGUUAUAGUGGUGGUGGUGGUGUGUGUGUGGCGGGGGGGGGGGUGUUCUACACAAGAUUUAUGGCGACUUAUGCCUUUGGAAGGGAAAAAGGAACUAAGAGUUAGGAACUUUGAACCCUUAUAUGACCUAAAGCAUUUAAGAGUGGUUUUGAAUUUAUUUCCUAUUGAGGCAAUAAAAUGUAUUACACUUUGUUUUGUUUCAGAUUUUUCCUUAAUAAAAUGACCCAUGUAAACCUUGAAAAUCCAUCAAUAAGAGUUAAGAAAUAUUUAUAGCCUAAAAUAGAAUCAGUAGAAAAGGGCCCCCAUAAAUCAACAUGUAAAAGUUCAAAUGGAGCAUGAGUAUGAGUAAGACUAUUUAGAAAGGGGAAUUUCUUUUGUUUUGCAAAAUGAAACGAAUCACAAGGGUUCAUGUUAUUUUUACAAGGGAUGGGGGGAAAAUGUUUAGCCAUAGUUUUCAUACUGAAAUUAGAAAGGUGGCCUAGUCUUAGAUGCCAAAGUUCAAAGGAAUUAGAAAUAACAUAAUUACUAGUGGAAUAAACAUCACUAAUAUCUAUCACAUAGAGGCCUCUGUGCCAUUUAGUUGUACCAAGCAUUUGCUUUGGAUGGUUCUGCAAAAUAUGACACAAGUUUGAAGAAAAUUUCAGAUAGCAAUCAAUAUUGCUAGUCAAUUUUGUGACUAAGAUUAAAUUAACAUGAAAGUUAGGAAUAUAGUGAAAAUUGUAAAGAGUUAAGGAAAGGGAAAUGACAAUGUUUCUAGAUAUGCAGGCAGUCAUGUGAGAUUCAUUUGGUAAGGAGAUUAAGCUAUUGAUUAACUUAACUCACAAAGAAAGAGUCGCCACAACGCUUUUAUUAUUUCCAAAGAAAAUAGAAAAAGAACGAACCAAACCCAAAGAAGUUUAAAAAAAACUAAUAAAAACAAAGAUAAGGGUCCAGGGGUUGGUUAUGUACAGGGAAGAUACUAGCACCCUAAGCAUCUAUAGUACUCUACAGGAACAUCUUUGAAAAUAUGUGCAUUUAGAUUUAAAAUGGUGUUGUUUACAAAAGAUUAGGGAGAUGAAAAGAGAUUUUUUUUUUAUAAUUUUUGUGUUUGCCAAGACUUUCUGAACCUCGUGCCUACGUACCCAUAAAGUGCAAUGGCGAAUCAAAACCUCGUAGUUCGUGGUAAAAAUAACAAAGAUGUUUGCUUUGAUUCAUUUUUAAUGAAUUUUUUUUUGUCAUUUUAAGAAGAACAUUCAACUAGCCAUCCACAAGUAUGGGAACUUUGCAUCACCAUGAGAAGGACUCUAACUUGGAUAAAUAUCAACUAGCUCUCUUAUAUAGAAAAGAAUUAUUAUCAAUACUAUGGGGAUAGAAAAAUUAUAUAUCAACUAUGGAAAUGACUCGUGUCUAAACUUUGAGAAAAAAGUUUUAAAAAGGAAAAAAAAAAGUGCACAAAGGGCACAAAAAGGUUUGAAUGAGUUAUGCAUUUUUAGUUUUUUGAAAUUGGUUUGAAUAUGAUUAAGAUGUAUUAGAAUUUAUUAAUAAAAGAUUUUGAAAAGAAAUCACUUGAAAAAAGUCAAGGUUUAUUGAGGAAGUAGUUCAAGUUUGAAAACAAGAAUGUUUUGAAAAAAAGAGAGAAGAUUUUGAAAAUCAAAGAAGGGGAGGAGAGGAAGAGAUUAUCCUAGAACAUAAAGUAAAAGCUAUGGAGGAAAGAUCCAACCAAGAGAUAACAACAAGAAUUCACUCCUUUGGAUUAAGCCUUAAGCAAGUCAAAUAAGCAAAGAAUAUUCCAUGUAUCAGAUGAAACCAAAGUAGCCAAGCAAAAUCUUCAAAAGAAUCUCAAAGUCAAAGGUAGCAGAUGAAUCUCAAGGUCUCAAAUCAGAAACUCCCAAAAGAUAAACAAGUAUGCCACUAGUUCUCUUAGAUGGAAAAUAAUUAUCAUCAAUACUAUGGGUAUAGAAUAAUUACAUCUCAACUAUGGAAAUGACUCAUGUCUAAACUUUGAGAAAAAGUUUUAAAAGAAAAAGUGCACAAAGGGCACAAAAUAGUUUGAAUGAGUAAUGUAUUUUUUAAGUCUUUUGAAAUUGGUUUAAAUGUGCUUAAUAUUUAUUAGCAUUUAUUAAGAAAAUAUUUUGAAAAUCACUUGACAAAAGUCAAGGUUUAUUGAGAAAGUGAUUCAAGUUUGAAAACAAGAAGGUUCUUGAAAAAAAAAGAGAAGAUUUUGAAAAUUAAAGAAGGGGAGGAGCUAAGAAGAUUAUCCUAAAACAUAAAGUAAAAGUUAGGGUGAAAAAUCUAACUAAGAGAUAGCAAGCUUUAUGACAUGUGUUAAGUAAGAACACUCUCCUUUGGAUUAAGCUUCAAGCAAGUCAAACAAGCAAAGAAAAAUCCAUGUGUCAGAUGAAACCAAAGUAACCAAGGAAAUUAUUUAAAGUAAUCCCAAAGUCAAAGGUACCAGAUGAAUCCCAAGGUCUCAAACUAUAAACUCCCAAACAAGGGUCAAAAUUCUAGUUCUAACUCCGUAACUCCAUAAUAAUCCCAAUGAUAGUAACCUCAAGUCCAUGAAUUAAGAGAACCAAUUUUUAGGGGUUUUUUCCUUUAUUAAUGUAUUUAAAAGAAAAAGAAGUCUAAAUGGACAAAGAAAAAAAGGCAUAAACAUAAACAAAGGUCCAAGUGGACAAAUAGAAAAUAGCAUAAAUACAAACAAUAUGAUAUGCGAUGCUAAAAUAAAAUCAUAAAGUUAAUAACAAGAAAUAAAUGGCAAAAAAAUAAAGAGCAUAAGAUAAAUGGCAUUAAAGUAAAUUUAAUAUAAUAAUAUGUUAGUAAGUUGUGUUAGUAAUAAAAAAUUGAAAGAUAAUUUAUCAUUUUUGGGAGAAUACUCAACUAUUCGCCCACAAGUAUGAAAAUGUGGACCUCUACAUCACCAUGAGAAAGACUCCAACUUGGAUAAAAUCAAUAAGUAUGCCACUAGUUUUAUUAGGUGAAAAGGAAACAAUAUUUUUCACACAAUACCAUGGGGAGUAGGAGACUUACAAUCUCACUUAUGAAAAUGACUUACUUUCGGAUUCAGGAUAAAUUUAACGUUAUGUUAAGCAAUCGUAAUUGGACUCAUGUUGAAGUCACAACUAUCUGAGCCCGGUCAAUAAUAAUAUUUAUGUUAAUACAUGCUAGAGAAAUUAUAUGUAAAUCAUUCUCCUAAAGAUAUGCCACACAAAAAAAGGAUGGAUCAAGCACAAAUGUUAAGAGAGUUGUUCAUUACAUCAAUCAAUACUUCAUGAUACUUAGGACAAGCUUAUGCAUCAAUCUAAAGUACCUUAAAUAUUCUAUGAUCAAUUAGGAGGUAGAUUUGAAGUGAUGAAAGUUCAUCAAGUACCAAUUCAUACAUCAUAAACAAGAUGAACACAAACCAUCCAAUUGAUCAAGAGAAAAAAGGAAGCGAAAGAGAUUAAGAAGAAGAAGAAGACGAGAGAAACCAAACUCAAAUUGGAUCAAAGGAUUGAUCAAGUCAUCAUCAAAAUCAAUCAUCCAUCUUGGUAGAUUUGGGUUUUCACCCCAUCAACACCGAAGAUCCAUUGAAUUUGAUGAGAUUUAUGAUCAAAAUAGCCAAGAUCCAAGGUCAACAGAAGUCAACAAAGGUCAAACAAGCAUAAAAUGAAAGAAAAUAAAAUAAAAUGCAUCAAAAAUAUUUUUUAAAUGAAUUUUAAAAGGCAAAUAAAACAAAAAAUUCCAUAAAACCCUUUAAAAUACCAAAUAAAUGGCCAAGAAAAUUAUGGAAGGUUGAAGAUAAAAUAAGGAACAUAAAAUAAAUUUUUCAAAUAUUUUUAAUGCAUAAAAGUAUUUUUAAACUAAUUAAAAAAAGGGGAAAAAGAGGAAAUCCAAGAAAAUAAAAUAUGGAAAAAUAAAAAUCAGAUGAAGAAAAAAAAAAGAAAAUUUUAGAAAAUAUUUUGGGAUUUUUUGGAUAAAAAAUGAAUUUUCUAUAAAUUUUUAAAGAAAAUGCAAUUUAAAAUAAAAAAUAAAAAGAAAUAAAAAACAGAAAAAAAUAGAGGCAUUGGAUCUGACCUCAUUAAUUGACGUGGCAAAUCCAACAACUAUCAGGCUAGGGCGCAUGGUGGAAAAUAGUUAGAAUAAAACAUGGAAUCACAUUCAAAAUGGACCAAUCAAAACAUUUCAAAAUGCCAACGUGGAUAGCCAACUCAGAUGGCCUGAAACAAAUCCAUUCAUCUUCUUCGGUAAUCCCUCAUCGGAGUUUCAUCAUUUGACAAAGUAAGAACAUGAGACUACCACCAAUGUGAUCGUCUCCUCAUCACGAAUUCAACCUAAUGCUCAAAAUUAAUUUAUCUAAAUUGAGUAUGGAGAAUUUCAGAGAAGUUUUAGAAACAAGCAAGUCACAAAAAGUAAAAUUAAAUGAUGAACAUUAUCACUCAACACCAGAUAAGUUAGGGGAAAGCAUAAGAGGGUGAAGGACUACAUUGUGGUAACUCGUUUGAGUUCAAAUGAUGCUCAAAACUACCUUGUCCAAAUGUAGAUCGGAGGUUGAAGAAGCUUGAUCUGGUCAGGGCACUUCAGAAGGUCUUACAGAUUGAGAAUUAUUGCAAAAUCUUCAUAGGAGACUGAAAGUUUUAAUUGAAUCAAGAAAUUGAACUGAAACAAGCUAGAAAUCAAACACGAUAGCUCAAUUUUCUAGAAAUGUUUAAUAGUGGAGCAGGGGUUUUUUAGCUCUCCAAAGCUUGGGAAUAAGGCAAAUAUAUUGCUCUAUUUAUAGGGAAGUGAUUGGUGAUCUCAUACGUGCCAAAUGAUGCUUAAUUCGUGCAAAACAAAUUUGCUCAUGAUGUGAGAAAAGUGUGACUUGUAAAACCAUCAAAACUCAGCCAAAUUAUGCAUUAAAUGAUUCAUUUAACUUUUGAAGACUUGAUUAAUCAUGUUUAGGUCCAAAACGUGUGGUAAAUUGGCUUGUAAUUAAGGAUUAGUGAAGUUCAAAAUUCUGAACAUGGUGAUUUCUUCAGUUCCAAGUUACCAUGUUUAAUUCAAUGGGGCAUCUUGCCUAGGAGGCUUUUUGAUCUCAUUUUUCUUGCAAUUUUUGGACAUCAUAUCAAAGAUUACAAUGUGCCAAGAAAGGUUGCAUUUGGAUGCUUGAGCAGAAGUUUAUGGCAUGUUAAAGUUGGCACAAAAAUUUGGUUAUGCAACUUGGAAAAUUCUAAGUCCCAGAUGGCUAAAAAUGACCCAUAAUGUCUCAAAGAAUUCCAUGGUCUUCCAAGCAUAAUUUGACUUUGAUCCUUGAAGAAAACUUGUAGAGGGCAUCACAAAUGAUAUUAUUCAAAAAGAAUCAGCGUCAAAUGUUGGAAAUUGAAGAAGUUAUAAUCCUUGAAAGUUGAGAAAAAGUCACUUGAAAAUAGGUCAAAUUUCACUAGGUCCACAAAUGACCUAUAAUGUCUUCAAACUUUUGAUGAUCCUCCAUGCAUAAUUGGAUCUUGUAAUGUAAAGAGAAGUUAUAGAGGAUAUUUAGAAGAGUCAUAUGCAAAAAGAAACAUUCAAAAAUAUUGAGGAUUGAAGGAAUUGUGAACCUUGGAACUUUGACUUCAAAUGUUGAAUUUUUGGUCAAACCUCUUGGAAUAAACUUGUGUACUUGGACUUUUAUUGCAUUUCAAGGUACAUGGAUGAUCAUAUGAACUAAAAAUAAGGUGUCCUUAAAUUUAUUUUUAUUAAAUUUCUUAAAGUUUGAGGUAACAUAUUGAAGAAGGCAUGGAAAUAAACACAUGAACCUUUGCCUUUUCUUGAGACCGAUUAUCCACUUUUGUGUAACCGAUUACAAGCGCAAUAUUUUGAUUUUUCCUGCUAUUUUACUUGGUCAAUUCAGUUCCCAAUUGUGUUGUAUCUCUUGUAUAAGUGUUUAGAAUGCACACUCAUCUAAGGUUAAUGCAAUAAUAAUCUCUCACCCUUAAUUCUCCUCUUUCACACUCUACAUCCAAAGUAUCUCCACCAUUGUUCAUCAAACUUGUUGUGUCUUGUUCCAACAUUUGACAUCAAGAGUCUGGUUCAGAUCCACAAACACCUAGUGUGCAACAUGAAUUAUGUUUCCAAUGAAAGAAUCCCUGCAAACCUACAUAUCCUUGAUGCGAAGAAUUAUGAUAAAUGGUGCAAGAAAAUGAAGAUGUUGUUUGGCUACCAAAAUGUUCUUAAAGUAAUCAAGAAUGGUGUUAGCCCUCUUGUUCAAAAUGCAACAGAGGUGCAAAAAGAAACACAUAAGAAAGAGAAGAAGAAAUACUUCAAAGUGUUAUUCUUGAUCCAUCAAUGUGUUGAUGGCGACAAUUUUAAGAAAGUUGGUGAUUGCGAAUCGUCAAAGCAAGUGUGAGAGAUCUUAGAAAAGACAUGUGGAUGGGUUGACAAGGAAAAGGUGGCGAGGUUACAAACUUACAAACACCAGUUUGAAUUGAUUCAAAUGGAGGAAAAGGAGACAAUAAACUAUUUUGCAAUGAGAAUCACCCGGUUGGUGAAUCAAGUGAAGGCAUGCAAAGAAACUGUUACAAAGCAGUAUGUUGUCGCUAAAUCUUGCAUUCUUUAACACUAAGAUUUGACAAUAUAGUUGUGGCGAUUGAGGAGUCAAAGGAUCUCACGAUGAUGAGUAAAGAGAAGCUGCAAAGUUCUCUCGAGGCUCAUGAUAAAAGGAUGGAAGAGAGGAAUAACGUUAAGGCAAAGGCGGAGAUCGCUUUGCAAGCUCGUUUCAAUGAGAAGGACAAGAGAUCGAAAGGAAAAUGGCCCAAGAAAAGAAAAGGGAAUUUUCAUAAUUUUGGUGGAAGAGAGUCCUAAAAUUCAAAUAAUUUUACUUGUCAAAGGGGUGAGAGCAUCUUCAACAAACAUGGUGGUCAAGGCAACUUUAGAGGUAGAAGGAAGAGGUUUGACAAGAGCAAGGAGUAGUGCUAUAAGUAUCAAUGGUUUGGCCAGUUUGCAAAAGAAUGCAAUUUGAACAAGAAGGAAUCUCAAGGGGAUGAAGCCAAGGUUGCAAGAUAAGAGUUUGAUAAAGAGAAUACAUUUUUGGUCAUGAUCAAAGAAGGGAAUUGUAGCAGCAAACAACUGCGGGACAACAACUACAACAACUCAACGAAUGCUGAAUAGGUUGGUUGAAUGAUACGAUUAACCAAUUGCAUGAAGAGGAAGACGCCAUGAUGAGUUUGAAAGGAGUUCAAUGCAGUGAGGAGUGGUAUUUGGACUUGGUUUGUUCAACUCAUAUAACGGGAAUAAAGGAUUGGUGUGCCAAAAUCAAUUGUGCCAUGAAGAACAAAGUAAAGUUCGCGGAUGACACCACUCUAAUAUUCAAUGGGAUCAGUGAUGUUUUAAUCAUGAGAAGGGAUAAUGGACAUUCCUUGACCAUAAAUUCUUGUACAUUUAGGGAAUCAAAUGUAACCUUCUGAGUAUUGGCCAAUUUCUUGAGAAGGGUUAUAAGAUUCACAUGGAAGACAAGGGGUUGCGGGUUAUGGAUGUAAGAUGAGUCUUGGUCCUUAAAGCGCAUAUGGAUGCCAAUAAAACCUUUAAGGUUGAGUUGAAGGUUAUAGAGCAUAAAUAUCUUGCUACUGUAACAAGUAGACAAUAUUGGAUUUGGCACUAUCGUCUUAGGUAUCUCAACUUUAGAGAUUUCAAAGACUUUCAAAAGAACAGAAUGGUAACGGGGCUGCCAUCGAUCAACAUACUAGCUGAAAUUUAUGAAGAAUGUAUGCAAGCGAAGCAACAUAUGGGAAAAUUAAGAAAGUAGAUUCUAUUGGUGGCAAUAUGUAUUUUUUCACAUUUAUCGAUGAUCAUAGUACGAAGCUAUGGACAUACCUAAUCAAGAGAAAUGACGAUGUAUUUGAUGAUUGUUUGUCAUUGCAUAUAUUUAAUCGAAGAAUCAAAGAAAAAUAAGUGAAAUUUGAGAUAAAAUGAAGAAGAAUGAGGAAAAAAUAGCUAAGUGUGAAAAUUGUGGACUUAUUGAAAAUUUGAGUGAAAAGGGGAGCAAAACCGUGCAACCACGGGAAUAAUCACGCGCACCAUCACAUAGCAUCGUGCACGCGAUGGGGUCUUUAAAGCAGCAUUACACGCGCGAUACAAGGAAUCACGCGCGUGAUAAGUACUUUUUAUGGGCUUUUUAGACACGUUCUAGUCCAUUCUAACGCCUUUAAAAGAGGAUUUUCUGCACUUUCACAAGGGUUACAAAAUUGGGAGAUCUAGGCACGAUUUUGAGAGCACAAGUGGUGAUUUUUAUAGCAUUGGAAGCUAUUGGAGGCCAUUACUUCAACGUAUUUCACAUGUUAUUUUCAUCUAUCAAUUAUGGCAUUUUUAAUUGCAUUAUGAGUAGCUAAGCUCUUUUAUAUUAGGUUGUGUUAUGAUGAACCUAUUUCUAUAUUGUUGGAAUCUAUGUUGAUUUAACCAUUCUAAGAACCGUUUGAACUAUAAUUCCAUUCAAUUGCUUUUUGUUCAUAAUUCCUUUUAUGUGAGAUACUCUUUUAAUCUGAUUUUGGGCACAUAGGGAAUAUUGACUAUUAGUCUAUGUGUUGGACCUAGGGAAAUUGUUGUACUUACGCUGGUUGAAUAGGAAUAGGAGACCCUGAGUAGUGGCAUAGAGAAUUAAUGUUUUAUACAUCACCUAACCUUGCUUACGCUGGCAGACUAGGGAUAGAAAGCUCUGAGUAGUGGUUAGUGAGUUAUUUCGCGAGGGAUCAGCUAUAACGGUUUUGUUAAUUCGAUGUGGUGUUAUAGUGAUAAGACCAUUCGUAAAAGAUAUAAAACAUCAACAAUAGAGGAAUAGGGGAUUCUAGAACACAAUAUGCUCGUUUUCGUGAUAUUGUUUAAUUGUUUAUUUACUUUUCGCACUGAAACUCGAAAACCCCCCUUUUUACUAGUUUUCUAUAAAUUGCACACAUUUUGUCUUGCCUGAAGGAAAUUCAUGUGGAUUCGAUCUUUUUAUUACUUCGACAAUAUCAAUACACUUAUCGAGAAAUCAUUAAGUUUUUGGCGUCGUUGCCAGGGACUGUUGAUUUUUCAACAAGGCGAUGUUUGUGCAAUUUUUAUUUUUAUUUUUUUAGUCUUUUAGUUUUUUUUUUCUUUUUCUUGUUUAUCAUAGUGCUAUUGAGGUAUUUUUUGUUUGUGUAUGCACAAUUUAGGAUCAACAUUAAUACCAUUGGUUCUAGAAAUUGAAAGAACUACACGUGCUCUCAGAAAAGCAGUUAGAGAAGCAGCUCUGAAAGGAGGAAUACUAGAAGAAGAGCAACUAUCAAAUUCUUCUGACUCUGAAGAAGAAGCUGUAAUGGAAGCUGCACAACCCCUAACUAUGGGGCAUUAUUAUAAAUUAACCGAUGAAGGACACUUAUCAAGAGGGUUUGUGCUGGUAGACCCUGCUAACUUUGAUAUUAAAAAUUAUGUGCUUUAAGGUUUGAGAGAAAAUUCGUUUGAUGGGAACACGAUUAGAGACCCAUGGGUGCAUCUUACACACUUUUAUGAAAUAACUUAAAUGUGCAAACCAACUGAUGCCACUGAAGAGCAGGUUAAAUUGAGGUUGUUUGGGUUCUCACUAAUUGGAAGGGAGAAAGAUUGGUUACUUUGCCUUCCGAAUAAAACGAUACAUACUUGGAAGGAAUUAAAGGAUAAAUUCCUCGAAAUAUUUUUCAUUACUACUCAGUUUACCGAGCGCUAAGCAGAAAUUGUGAAUUUUGUGCAGCAGGAAACUGAGUCACUUUAUGACUCUUGAGAAAGAUUCAAAUUUUUGUUACGCAGAUGCCUGAAUCACAACAUGAAUAAUAUGGUGCAGAUGUAAAACUUCAUUAAAGGUCUCAAGAGUCAAACUCACAUGUUAUUGGAUGCUUCUACGAGAGGUACUAUCUGAAAAAUGAAUGAACCACGGGUAAAAGAUCUCAUUAAGAAGAUGUGUAUGAAGGAGUACCGAUCCAAGAAUGAAAGGUCGGUCAAGAUGGGAAUUGUGGGCACGCCUAAAGGUAUGUUACCUAUUGAUACCCACACUGCUCUUUUAGCUCAGAUUGAAUUAUUAAAUAAAAAUCUAGUUGGAAGCAGCUUAGUUAAAGCUAAUGUAGGCUAGGUACAAGCACUUGGGUGCGAUUUAUGUAGAAGAGAACAUGCGAAUGAAAGGUGUUCAUUGGAAGAGACAAGUGAGGAGGUCCAAUUUGCUAAUUUUUUAAAAAAUAACUUGUAUUCAAACACAUACAAUCUGGGUUGAAAAGACCAUCCAAAAUUCCGUUGGAAUAAUAAUCAAAAUUCAAAUGCUAACUAAGGGAUGCAACAAAGUCAACAAGCUCUGUUUCAAAGGAAUCCCAUCACAGUUGGUAGAGACCUCACAAAAUUUCAUUAAGGUCACUCAAAGUAGAUUUGAUAGGGUAAAGAAGACCCAUGAAUAAAUGAGUAGAAACUAGGAUGCGUCUAUCAAAAUUUUGGAGAUGAAGAUUGGUUAAUUAUCUAGAAAAGUAGCUACUUUGUCAAGCUCAAGUGGAGGAUUCACCAGUAACACCGUUGAUAACCAUAAGAAUGAUAACCCUAAAUAUAGGUUUAAGGGCAAUUACUGAAAAGGAUAAGGAUGAGAUAGUUAAACAAUGUGUGGUUAAGGCAUAUGAGGGUACCUGUAGCACCUCAAAUUUGCACCCCCCAUUCAUGCAUUCAUUUCAUUUUUUAGGUCAUUUAUCAUUCCAUAUUGCAUUGCAUUUUGGCAGUCAGCAUUGGCAUCAAGAGAUUCAUCAGUACAAAAGAGAAAGUUUUUUCUUGAGAUGAAGGCCAAAUGAUUAUACUAAAGAGCUUAUAUGAGCCCAGGUUCAUUUUGAAGCAAAGUUACCAAGUGGUAGAGGCCCAAACUCAUCAGUGCACUUCCAGGUCAUCUGAGGCCCAUACAAGUCAACUAUGCAGUCAACUAAGGGCUUUGAGUUGGGGAAAUGGUUUGAGACACUUCAUUCAUGUCCAAAAGAGGCUUUUUCAUCAUGUCAAACAUCUACCUUGAAGAUUUUGAAGUCAAAUCAAAAGUUUCCAAAAAUGGAAAGUGACCUGUAAUUCAAAGUUUCCAAAAAUGGCAAGUUUUUAGACCACAUUCAACUUGACUUUCCAACAUCAAAUAAGCUUCAAAUGAAUUUUUGGUCAACAUGAAAGUUGAAGAUAUUUCUCUCCUAUUUCCAAAAAGUCCAAGAGUAUGAGUAUCUGAUGAAUGGUUGAGAAGUUAUGAACAAAUGAUUGCAAAGUAUGCAUGGAACUUCAAAGUGCCAUAACUUUUGAUCCAAAACUCCAAAUUGAGCCACUCUUUUUGCAAAAUGCUUGUAUUGACCAAUAUUUUCCAAAUCAAACAUUGCAUUGCAUGAAAUUAACUCACAUGAUCAUUUGUCCAUGCAUGUAUAUUUUGGAGGGAAAAUGGAUAAUUCAAAUUCUAUUGAUCAUACAUGAAAAAUUCCUAUGCCAUUGUGAUCUUUGGAUGAUUUUAAGUGACUUUUAACCAUGCAUGUGCACUGUUCACGUGUAAAAUCUCCAUGCACCACACAUUUACCAUUUUUGCAUUACACCUCAUUUCUCAUUAAGUUUCCAUUAGCCAAGCCUAAUUGUGAUUAGCAUGAUAAUUAACAUGUGAUAUAAAUAGAUAAUCCUAACUGAAUUGGAUGAGAUUACACAUUCUAGAUCUAGAAAUUGGAUUUCCCUCCAAAAAUUCUCUCAAUUCAAACAUCAAAUUUCUACACAUAACUCAUGAAUUUUCUUGCAUAAUUGUGUUCAUCUUGCAUCAUUGAGUAAGAAUCAAGGCCUGGACUGAAGGAUUUGGUGCAGAGUCGAGCUCCACGAAUGCAUGAAAAUGAAGAAGGUUUUCUGAAUUUGAGCUUCAUUUAGGUAGUUUCAAUUGCUAUUCCUUCCAUAAAGCUUCACCUCAAGGUUGAUAGAGGAGACCUGGAGCUGGAGGAGGCUUGAAUCCACGAAAUCAUCGCACUGUUCUUCAAGAAGGUUAAAAUUUGAAUCUCAUUAUUUGCCAUUUUAUGCACAUGAUCUUGUAGGUCGUGCUCCACUGAUGAUUCUGAUAUGAAUAUUAUUGAUUUUGGCUGGAUAUUGAGUGAGUUAUGAUGAAUUAAAGUUUGUAUGCUAAAUUUGUUCUUGCUCGAUCCAUGAGAUAUGUGAUGAUUUAGAGUGAAUUAGGCAUGGAUUUGGAAUGUACGUUAUGCAAGCUUUCGAUCCAUAUCAUUUUUGCAUGAUUCUAGAAUUUUUUUGAUGCACCUUCAUCGGCGUACCACCGGAGAAGAUGACCGAAAGUACUAUUCCGGUCAUCUGGUUCAUGAGCUAGGGUUUUAAUGUGCGCACCUGUAACCAUGCAAGCCCCAGUUCGAUCCUUGGCAACUGUUAUUUUAAAAUCCAUUUAUUUUCUCCCUAUGAUCCAAACGUUGCGUUUUGCUCUAGCGCCCUUGUGAACAAGCCUUGCCUCUGUUCGAUUCUUGGCCUGGCAAUUAUCCCAAUUGAUUUUAUUGAGCGCGCCUAUGACCCUAUAGUCCUCAGUUCGAUUCAGGCGCUUUGCAUUUUUUCUUUUAUUUUCAAUUGAAGCGCUGCCUUGGACCUUUGUGUCCUGAGUUCAAUCCCUGACCAAGUAUUUUUCAUCUUUUAAUUCACAUUUCAUUUUUUCACAUGAUUGUUGUGAUGUCUAUUAUUUUUUGAUGUGAUUUUCCUAAUUUUUGUAUUUCUGGAAUUUUAAAUGUGUUUGUGUGAUUGAACAUGAUGCAAAUAUGACAUGUUAUGCUAAAUGUUUUAUGAAAUGCUCAUAUUUUAUCCAAUUGCCUUGAAAUUUGACAUGCUUGAUCUAUACAUGUGACAUGAUUUUUGAGCUUUUGUUUGGCAUUUUUAGCACAUUCCAUCACUGUUUGGGACACAUGAACAUAUGAUGUAGCAUUUGGUGUCACAUUCUUGACCUUGCUUGUGUUCAUUUUCAUUUGCAUGUCAUUUGAUAUCUUCUGGACCUAAUUCUUUGCAUGAUGCUUGUGUUUAAAAUUUUGAUCUCACAUAAAAAAUUUCAUGAUCAUUGGAUGCAUUUCUGUUUUAAUGUGGAUUUUCUACCUUUUUCUUGCCUUGUGUAGAUGAUGAAUAAGCACCACUGUUGAUUGACUGUUUGGUUUGUCUGAAUGUGAUAUUGACUGUUUGACUUUUGUACAGGUACAUUAGUCGCUUUUAGCUCUCGCUUGAGCUUUGCUUUGGUUGUGGUUGAUAUACCACCUAGGUAAUCACUCUAACUCCAUGUAGUCUGGAAGCCCUGUCGUUUCUUUUGGCAUGCAUUUGGUUGAAGUCCUCCUUAAGAGGCAAUGACUGUGUUUAUUUAUAUUUAUGCCAAAGACCUCCUUGUCGAGGCAUGUUACUUGUUAAGUCCUCCUAAGUGAAGAGGCAAUUGACAGAUGGAAAGGAUUAGCAAUCAAUCCCCUGUUAUUCGUUGAAUCGUUCAUUAUGCUCGCACUAUAUGCUGAUGCUCUUGAACCUAACCCAAGAUCCUUGUAUAUAGAGUCAGUCAAGUGGAAUAGGGUCCCUCUUUCUGGAUCCCCAGGUUUUCAUUGAUUUGAGCUCACCCAGGCCAGGGUUAAGAGCAUGAGGUCUUAUCCUCAUUACCUUUCAUCAGCUUCACCCUAACUCUCAAUGUUAGUGGUUAAGAGCUUCAGCACACCCCUACAGUUUUGGCUUGUUUGUCGAGGUUGAUAUGACCCCUUGACUAAAGCCUUACCCUCAGAUGUUUGAGCCCCUUGUUGGCGUGUUUACUUCAUGUAUAUGUUUUUGUGUGGUGUGAUUGUAUCCCCAUAGGAUUGCUAGACUUCGUAUAGUCUCUCGUUUGCAUGUCAAUUAAGGUAGCAUGGUUCCUUCGUCUAGGACUUCCUUUCUUGCGUGAGCAUUCCUAAAACACAAACAAACUUUAUCUUCUCUUAAGGACACGUUGACUCCUUCUACUACAGGUGAGUAAGUCUCCAAAGGUCGAGCAUCCAUCUAGGACUUCCUUUCUUGCGUGAGCAUUCCUAAAACACAAACAAACUUUAUCUUCUCUUAAGGACACGUUGACUCCUUCUACUACAGGUGAGUAAGUCUCCAAAGGUCGAGCAUCCGGUAGAUUGCAUAGUAACGUUGUUCACCUAAAAAACACAACAAACAGAAAUAGUUUAGCCGAACUACGACAACUCUGAUUCUCAUGUUCAGAUGAGAUACGUAGGCAUGAGAUGCGAUGUCUUGUCGAGUUUGACUGACGACUAACAUUAAUCCUUGCUAGUUUUCAUCCUCGUUGCGAUUCUUUUCUCUCGCCCUCGUUGCGAUUGAGACCUUCCUUUUCUCUUGCCCUAGUUGCAAUCGAGACCCUUCUUCUUUUCGUGUGUGUUUGUUAGGAGUCGGAUAUAAGUCCAUCUAUUGGCAUUCUGUUUCCUGUUUGCGUGUGUGUUUGUUAGGAGUUGGAUGUAAGUCCAUUUAUUGGCAUUCUGUUUCCUUGUGUGUUUGUUCGGAGUCGGAUGUAAGUCCAUCUAUUGGCACUCUGUUUCCUGUUUGUAUUUCCUUGUUAGGAGUUGGAUGUAAGUCCAUUUAUUGGCAUUCCGUUUCCUUUGAGUGUUCUUUUGACGUCUCAGCGUCUCUUUUCAGUGUUUUGUUUCGGCGUGCGUUAGCCGAGCUACGAGUGCUCUGAUUCUUCCUCUGGUUAGAGAAGAUACGUAUGCAUAGGAUGCGAUGUCCUAGCGAGCACGUCUCCCAUUUCCCCGAACUACGUCGACUCUGAUGUUUGUUUCUGACAAACUACGUAGGCCCAGGAUGCGACAUCCUGCCGAGUCUGCUUUCUCCGUCUCCUCUUCCGCCUGUUUAUUAUUCCAUUGCGUGCAGUCUUUGAGCAGUUUUAUUAGCAACCUUAUUCUUUCCUUCUGAGCGUGGAUCCCAUCGAGUACGACGGACGUGAGGGGUGCUAAUACCUUCCCCUUGCGUAACCGACUCCCGUACCUAGCAAUCUUUGUUCGUAAGACCAUUCCUUUCCCUUUUUCAGGUUUACUUCGAGGGUUUCCUUUCCCUCCUUUGGGAUAAAUAACGCACGGUGGCGGCUCUGUGUCUUUUCCCGCCGGUUGUUUUUCGCGAUGCGACAGUACCAAUCAAGGUGACCAAGAGGAAAGAGGAGUCACCAUUGAUCAACUUAUAGACAAAAAUUCUCCUUGGAGGAGAACAAAGAGGCAUAUCUUGACUGAACCAAAUCCUCCUUUACCAGAUUACGUAAAACCACCGUAGCCGAUAAUUAAAAAGAAAUUGGUUCAAGAUGAUGAAGCGGGAAUGUUUGCAAAGUUCAAGGAAGUUCUAGCUACUCUCCAGGAAAGUAUUUCAUUCCAUGAAAUUUUAGAACUAAUGCCUAAGUUUGUUAAAUUUAUGAAGGCGUUUCUAAAUGGGACGGAAGAGAAAUGAAUCAAGGAACAUGUAAACAUGACCGAAAAUGAUGAUAUGGUAAAACCUCAAUCCUUACAACCUAAACUAAAAGACUCAGGUAAGUUUAUUAUUUCUUGUAAUAUCAGUGGAUUCAAUAUUCUGCAUGCUCUAUGUGAUCUGGGGUUUAACAUAAAUGUCAUGCCACUGAAAACUGUCAAAGAAUUAAAAAUGGGUGAGAUCACACUGAAUAACAUGACUCUCACUCUAGUUGAAUCGUCUAUUACUCAAUCGAUUGUUACUUUACGCAACAUAUUAGUAUCUGUGGACGACUUAUUGUUUCCUAUAGAUGUUGUAGUGCAUGAUACAAAAGGAGAUUAAGGAGGAUCUGUUAUUCUUGGACGUCCAUUCUUGGCAACCGAGAAAGCAAAGAUUGAUGUGGACACUGGUCAACUUAUCUUGAAGUCAAAUAAAAGGAAUGUGGUUUUCAAGGUAUUUGACUGGGCAUCUUAUGUGGAUAAUUUGGAUACUUUAUACCAUCCGGAGGAAAAAGGUAGAAAAGUAGACAAAGGAACAAUGAGAAAGGAAGUGACAGGCGUGAGGGUAUCCCUUGCACCUGACGUACCUUAGACAUGGAUUGUCAAGCUAGUUACGUAAAAAAAGCGUCUGAUGGGAGGCAACCCAUCCGUAAGAAAUUAUUUUUAUGUCAUAGUGAAUUUUUAUUUUUCUAACCUUGUUAAUUUUUGUGUUAUGUUGUUCGAAGAGAAAAUAGGUAAAAGAAGAAAAGAAAGAAAAAGAAAAAGGGAAGAAAAUAGAAAAAGAAAAGAGAUAGGAAAGUUUCAGCCCCUGGAAUCAUCACGCAUGAUAAUAUAAACUAGUUAUUUACAAUAAAUUUUUUUGAUAUUUAUUUAAAGAAGCACAAUUAAUAUAAAGACAAUAACACACCAAUCACACAUAAUAAUUUUAGAAUAAUUAUACUCUAAGAUUUUGAGAGUCGUGAUAUCUCCUCUUCUUAAAUGUUUAAGAAUUGGAUCUCUCUCACUAAUCUCUAUCCCCUUAUUUAUUUUAAGAAUAAACAUAUUGAAUUAAUAAAACAUAAUUGCACAUUUCUUAUAGCGAUUAUACAAACAACUAUCAAAGUUGAAAAAACUAAAGAGAGGUCAACUCAAUCUUUAUCAAAUUAAAUUAAAGUUUAUUUUAAAACACAAACAACUAGUUCAUUAAAAAGAUAACUUGUUUAGUACACAAAUGAGAUCUUACUUAAUACAUAGAAAUAAGAUCUUACAAAACAUAGAUAUUAAAAACAUAGGAACAACAUGAAAAGUUUUCAAAAUGACAUAGACAUUGAUUAACAAAGACAUGAAUUAGUUUCGGGUAUUUUUUAACCAUCCAUCAAGGUAAACUUGUUUGGAGUCAGGGGUGAAUUUUUCUUUCUCGGCUCGGAUAUCUUUCAACCAUCCAUCAAGGUAAACCUGAUUGUUGUCUGAGGUGGAUUUUGUUGUCUCGGCUCGGAUAUCUUUCAACCAUCCAUCAAGGUAAACUUGGUUGGAGUCAGAGGGCAAUUUUAUUUUUUCAGCUCGAGUGUCUUUCAACCAACCAUCAAGAUAAACUUGUUUGGAAUCAGAGGUGGAUUUUGUUUUCUCUGCUCGGGUAUCUUUCAACCAUCCAUCAAGGUAUACUUGGUUGGAGUCAGGGGUGGAUUUUGUUCUCUCAUUUCGAGUAUCUUUCAACCAUCCAUCAAGGUAAACUUGGUUGGAGUCAGACAUGGUUUCUGUUUGCUUAGCUCGAGUAUUUUUUAACCAUCCAUCAAGGUAAACUUGGUUGGAGUCAGGGGUAGAUUUUUCUUUCUCAGCUCGGGUAUCUUUUAACCAUCCAUCAAGGUAAACUUGUUUGGAGUCAGAGGUGGGUUUUGUUUUCUCUGCUCGGGUAUCUUUCAACCAUCCAUCAAGGUAAACUUGAUUGGAGUUAGGCAUGGACUUUUCUUUCUCGGCUCUGGUAUCUUUCAACCAUCCAUCAAGGUAAACUUGGUUGGAUUCAGAGGUGGAUUUUGCUUUCUUUGCUCUGGUAUCUUUCAACCAUCCAUCAAGGUAAACUUGGUUGGAGUUAGGUAUUGACUUUUCUUUCUCAGCUCUGAUAUCUUUCAACCAUCCAUCAAGAUAAACUUGGUUGGUGUCACCUGUAGAUUUUGCUUUCUCAUCUCGAGUAUCUUUCAACCAUCCAUCAAGAUAAACUUGGUUGGAUUCAGAGGUGUCUUUUGCUUUCUUUGCUCUGGUAUCUUUCAACCAUCCAUCAAGAUAAACUUGAUCAGAGUCUUGGGAGGAUUUGGUUUUCUCUGCUCGUGUAUCUUUCAACCAUCCAUCAAGAUAAACUUGGUUAGAAUUAGCAAUUUGUUUUUGACUCUUCAAUGGAUUUUUGAGCCAACCAUCAAG
rnacentral:lncRNA from 1 species